AGCUUCAUGAUCCAAUGGAAGGCUUGGAGGAAAUAGCCAACGCGAGUGGGGUUAAAGGAUACGCUUAUUGUGGUGGGCUUGGUCAUCGUAUCCGUGAUUGCCCCAAGUUAGAGUAUCAGAAGAGCAUGCAAAUUACUAGCUUGAGGAGGGAUUAUUUCGGGUCUGGAGGUUACCGAGGGGAGAUGUGAUCGGAAGUUUUUAGACAUAUGAAUUUGUAUUUUGCAAAUAUUUUGAGCAACUCCUUCAGUUCGUAAUGAGCCAACUAUCUAUGUACUUGAAUCUUCGGCGGUGCAUUCAGUUUGAAUGAGCUUCUUUAUCAUUAAUAUUUUUGGCUUUUUUGCUCCUCUGCCUUUACCAUUAGCAGUUCUGAAACUGUAAUUUCUUUUGAAUGAACUGUCUAAAGAAAAAAAGAUUUGAACGUGCCUAUGAUAGUUCGAUAAAUAUUACACCAAAGCAACAAAUUACAUUAGCGGCUGAACUGCUGGAUUCAAAUCUCGCGAUGAAACUAAACUAAAAUUUAUCUGGGAAGAGGCUUAGUUUGAUGAUCAUGUCAAUUGAACUUUUUGGAUUCCUAAACCUAUUGCUCUGGGUCUUAAGUCUCUGGUGAGCAGUGAUGGAUUUGAUUCUUGGAUCAAAACUUGCAGUAGACCAACCCUUCUGUCCUGUAAUUCACCCCAAUCAAAAAUCAAAACAUUAAUGAGGCAGAAAUAACGAACUCCUCAAAUUGGGUAUAAAAAUUAGUCACAGGUAUUGCUAACACGAGCACAUUAUCUUUUCAUCUCAGAGCGUUUAAUUGAUUCUGGUAGAGCUACACAUGUAAGCACGAGCGUACGACUCUGUUUUGAGGCGGCCCAGCCUACCGGAUUUUUGAAUUUACCUUCUUAACACCAUUUCGGACACAAAUGGUACAUUACAAGAUCACAGAUGCUCAACUCUCCCCUCUUAGGCAUGAAAAUCUUUUGGAUUUUUGAUUUACUCAAUUCUUUUAUUUUUGAUUCGAAAAGAAGAAAAGGAAGGAAAAAUUGAAUUUGAAAUGGAGUUCUUUUUACUGGUUAUAGGGAUCGUUUCGUUUUUCUAGGUGUUGGGGAUCCUAGGAGUUCAAUCAACCAAAACAACAACUAAUAGACAAGAUUCAAGGCAAAACAAUGAAAAGGGGAUGGAAAAAUACAACCUGUGUUUGGCCAGAAAUUUGGACAGAUUUUCUCUUUCCUUGCAGCAACUUUCUUCCCUUCUAAUGGCUGUUUUUCAGGUUCAGGAACAGCCUUCCAUGACUUGCUAAUUACCUUCCAAGAGAGAGGGGAAAACUAAUGAAGAACCACCACCCUUUGCUAAAAACCGAGAGCUCACUUUCAGCUGGGAGGAAAAAUCGAGAGCUCUUCUACUUAAAAUGGUAGAGGGUAAGUCUACAUAAGAAGGAAAGACCAUGCCUCUACCAAAAACGUGGGAAGACCUUAUUGUGUCAACAUCAAUACCAUCAAGUCACAAGUUGAUAGUGUUAGGUGAACCAUAUCCUCACAUUCUUCACCUUGGUUCUCCUAACACUCUCUCUUGGUUGCGAAUUUGCAUAUGGAAGAACUGUUCAUCAUCCUCGCCCACUACCUGCAAGAAAAAUUAACCAGUGUCAAUAUGUAAUAAAGAUAAGCACAAUUUAAAUUUACUUGCAGGUAGAAUUUUUGUUCCCAUAUCAGAGGGAUUCCUAUCAGUGUGAAUUUUAACAAGAUUAACUUCACCUUGAGACAGUUUCUCACGAAUAAAAUGAUACUUUACCUCAAUAUGUUUAGUUCUUUCAUGAUAAACAGGAUUUUUACAAAGCAAUAAAGCACUUUGACUAUCAGUAAACAUAACAGGUGUAUCAUGCAUGAAGUUCAAUUCUUUUAAAAUUCCUUUUAACCAAGUACAUUCUUUAACCGCCUCAGUUAUGGCAACAUAUUCUGCCUCAGUACUUGAUAAAGUAACUAAAGGCUGCAGCUGUGACUUCCAUGUUAUACAAUUGUCACCUAGUGUAAAAAAGUACGCUGUGGUAGACUUUCUGCUAUCCUUGUCACCAGCAAAAUCAGAGUCUACAUACCCCUUUAGAGUAAGUUUUUCAGAUUUCUUUUCAUACACUAGACCCAGAUUUAAUGUACCAACAAUGUACCUUAACAACCAUUUCAGACCUGCCCAAUGAGGCUUUCCUGGGUUUGACAUAAAUCUGCUCAAAAAACUUAUAGAAUAGGCUAAGUCAGGCCUGGUUGUUAUCAUAGAGAACAUGACGGAACCUAUAGCAUUAGCGUAGGGUAUGUUCCUCAUUUCUCUAAAUUCCUCCUCAGUCUUAGGAGAUUGUGCACCAGAAAGAUUCAUAUGAGCUGCUAAGGGAACGUUCACAGAUUUUGAUCCAUUCAUACCAAAUUUGGUUAUGACUUUGUUUAGAUAGGCUUCUUGGGAAAUGACUAGUCUAUUUUCAGCCCUAUCUCUCUUUAUAACCAUCCCCAAAAUCUUCUUAGCACUCCCCAAAUCUUUCAUAUCAAAUUCUGAUUUUAAAAGGUUCUUCAUCUUAGUGAUUUCAGUCUUACUUGAACUUGCUAGAAGCAUGUCAUCUACAUACAGCAACAAGUAGACCUCACAGCCCUCCUUACUGUCAUUAUAGUACAUGCAUGCAUCAUAUUCACUCCUUUUAAAGCCUAUCUUCAGUACAUAGGUAUCGAACCUUAUGUACCACUGUCUAGGGCUUUGUUUAAGCCCAUACAGAGAUCUUUCUAAUUUGCACACACAGUUAGUUUUACCUUUUACCUCAAAACCUUGAGGUUGACUCAUGUAAAUAUCCUCUUCCAAUUCCCCAUGUAGGAAAACAGUCUUGACAUCUAGUUGUUUCAGUUCCCAGUUGUACUGAACAACCAAUGCAAGAACCAGUCUGAUUGUUUUGUACUUUAUCACAGGAGACAGUCUGAUUGUUUUGUACUUUAUCACAGGAGAGAAUAUCUCAUUGUAAUCAACCCCUCCUUUUGAGUGAACCCUUUCGCUACUAAUCUGGCCUUAUACCUAGGAGGAUCACUAGGAUUAUUUCCUUCUUUCAAUUUGUAAAUCCACUUACAUUGAACUAGCCUAUGAUCCUUAGGUUUGUUAACUAACUUUCAAGUUUUAUUCUCCAUUAGAGAUUCCAUUUCUUCCCGCAUAGCUUUUAGCCAACUUUCAGAACAUUUUCCAUUAACAGUUUUUUCAUAACUAGCAGGUUCUAUCUGUUCAAGGGCUUCACCUGAAACCAAGGCAAAAUCAGUCAAGUUUAGAGAUUCAUAUCUAGGAUUUGGCCUGAUUUGCCUCCUUUCCCGAUCCCUAGUAAGCUGAUAAUCUUGAUUAGGUGGCUGAUCAUUAAAAUGUUCAACUUCAACUGGUUCAAUGUUAUCUUGAAGUUCAGUCACCUCUUCAGGUUCAGGUUCAGGUUCAAUUUCAAUUUCAUUUUCAUUUUCAUGAUGUAUAGGGUCAUUUUCAUCAUUCCCAGGUGUAGGUGAAUUUAGCCUAGUCAGCUUCACCUAAGUCUGAAUACUCUUCUCAGUUUCAGAUUUGUUAGUUUCUUCGGUUUUCUAUUUUAGACAUGGCAUCUCAGAUUCAUUAAAGACUACAUUCCUGCUGUUAAUAAUCUUAAUGCCUUGGACCCCUAAAACCCAUAACCUAUAGCCCUUCACACCCUCGGGAUACCCUAACAUCACACACUUGACAGCCCUGGGCUCAAGUUUCCCUUCAGAUUGAUGUGCAUAUGCAGCACAUCCAAACACCCUCAAGUGUUCCAGAUUUGGAGGCUCUCCCGUCCACAACUCCUGUGGGGUCUUAAACCCUAUACUGCUGGACGGAGACCUAUUAAUCAGAUAUGCUGCAGUACUUGCAGCUUCAGCCCAAAAACCUUUCGCAAGGCCAGAGCUAAUCAACAUACACCUAACUUUGUUCAUUAUGGUCCUGUUCAUUCUUUCAGCGACCCCAUUUUGUUCAGGUGUGUAUUUAACAGUUCUGUGUCUUGUUAUACCUUUCUGCUUACAGAAGUUGUCAAAUUCGCUAUUACAGAAUUCAAGCUCAUUAUCAGUUUUUAACGUUUUAAGUUUCUUAUCUAACUGAUUCUCAACAGACUUUAACCAAAUCCUGAAUUUUUCAAAAGUUUUCGACUUAGCCUUCAAAGGAUAAAUCCAAACCUUUCUUGAGUAAUCAUCCACUAAGGACAAGAAGUACUUGCUCCCACCAAAUGUGGAGUGCUUCUCCGGGCCCCAUAGAUCAGCAUGGACAUAGUCCAAUGGUCUGCUGGUCCUAUGAGAGCUAGCUUCAAAGCUCACCUUAUGAGACUUACCCAAAACACAAGUUUCACAGAAUUCCAUAGUUUCAAUGUCAUCUUUUCCAAGUAAUUUCUGAUUACUUAAAGAUUUUAGACCUUUAAACCCAAUGUGACCCAUUCUGUUAUGCCAAAGUUCAGUUUUGUCUUUACUCAUAGCAAGAAGGCUAAAAUCAAAUGGUAUUUCAGUUCUACCCUCAAGAUACUACAGCCCAUUCCUCUUGGGCCCCUUCAUAACUAUAAGAGAACCCUUCAUAAUUUUCAAAAUCUUGUUACCAGACUUGAAGGUAUAUCCCUCAUCUUUCAGAGAACCUAAGGAAAUGAGGUUCCUCUUUAAAUUUGGGACAUAUCUAACAUUUCUAAGUUGCGUGACGGCCCCAUCGUACAUCCUGAUGGCUAUGUCACCAACUCCAAUCACAUUUUGAGAAUUAUUGUCUCCCAUGUAGACCUUCCUAGGUUCAGUCUCCCUAUAGUUAUAAAACCAAGACCUAUCAGGGCACAUAUGGAAAGUGCACCCUGUGUCAAGAAUCCAAUUUUUGUCAAAUUCUUCUUCAGACACAUUCAUGACAUGCAAACUAUUAAAUUCAGUAGCAAUAGCAGCAUUAUCAACAUCAGAAUUGUUUUGGUCUUUUUGUUUCCUUUUGCAAUCAAAGCAGCCUUUCUUGAAAUGUCCUAACUUUCCACAGUGAUAACAUUUCUUACCGCUUUUAUCUUUAGAUUUGGAUCUCAUUUUAGAUUUUCCUCUCCCCUUCUUGUUAUGGAAGUUGAAUUCUUUCUUUUCAGAUCUUCCCCUAACAAAUAGACUCCCUUCACGAGAAUGAAUUCUGUUUUCUCUUUUUAAUUCAAGUUCUCUUGAUUUUAAAGCAUCAGAAACAAUAGCUUGAGUGAGAGUGUCCCUACCAUACUUUAUGGCAUUUUUCAUUUCUCUGUAAGAUUAGGGCAAAGUGUUUAGCAAUAUGACAGCUAAAUCCUCAUCAUCAAAUGUUUUAUCAUUAUGAGCUAAACUCUUAACAAUUAUGCUAAAGUCACUCAAAUUCCCCUCGACAUCCUUCCCCGGGUCCAUCUUAAAACUAAACAACUUCUCCAAUAGGUAUAUUUUGUUAGGUAAAAUUUUAGUUAAGAACAGGGCAUCUAGAGCAAUCCACAAAGCUCUAACAGUUUUAGCACUAUCAACUUGUCUCACAAUAUUGUCAGAUAGAUGCAAAAUUAUAUAACUGUAAGCAAUUUCAUUCAUGUCUUCAAUUUCAGUUGUUUUAGCUUUUAACUCAUCAGAAAAUGUAGCGGGAUCAUCAAGAGCUUUAGCAACUCUCUGUUGGACCAAAAUGGCCCUCAUUUUCUGUUUCCAUAUCAAGUAAUCCCCCUUUCCAUCGAAUUGCGAUAAUUCGACCCUCGAACCCAUUAUAGAUUCUAUAAAAGAGUGGCCUGUACUCGUGGACACAACAAAAAAGGUUUUGAAAAAUUCUUUUCCAGAUGAUCAAUAUAAAACUAAGUACCGAGUUUAAAAACAAUUUUUAGAAAUGAAGCACAAUAGUGAAAUAAUCCGUUCACGAAACACAGGUAUAUAAAGCAGGUAAAUAUGCUUCUAGGUUACAGAUUAAUCACAAGAAUUCAAUCAACAGAAUUCACAAAUAAGCAACCAAGCAAUAACCAUGCAUAAACCGGUAAGGAUACCAAACCUAACCUAACGGAGAGUUUGGAAUAAUCUUACCAAACUACUGUUGACAAACAGUAAAUAUACCACCAAGUUUCUGAACCAAAUUGUCGUAGACGUCAAGCUAGGGGCAAAAUCGUCCAACUUUUUCUGUAAAAUCUGAAACAGAAAACAAACGACAUCAGUGCGUUCAGGACGUCAAAAUAAGUAAACUGCCCGAAAAAAGCUCGCCGGAGGUCCGGCCACGCGCCGCCGCCGGUCACGCGCCCCACCACAGGGUGCGCUUCCUCCUGCUGGUCAUGGUUCCAUGGUCCAUUUCGUCGGAAAGUCAAUAGGUUGGUCGGAAAUCAAGUUUUCAGAUUCGGUCAGAAAGUGGUAAUGGUGAUUCCUUGCUGGUUUUUGAUCGAUUUUGGACUAAUAUCACUCCUCCUAGCUCUGAUACCAGUUUGUUGGGGAUCCUAGGAGUUCAAUCAACCAAAACAACAACCAAUAGACAAGAUUCAAGGCAAAACAAUGAAAAGGGGAUGGAAAAAUACAACCUGUGUUUGGCCGAAAAUUUGGACAGAUUUUCUCCUUCCUUGCAGCAGCUUUCUUCCCUUCUAAUGGCUGUUUUUCAGGCUCAGGAACAGCCUUCCAUGACUUGCUAAUUACCUUCCAAGAGAGAGGGGAAAACCAAUGAAGAACCACCACCCUUUGCUAAAAACCGAGAGCUCACUUUCAGCUGGGAGGAAAAACCGAGAGCUCUUCUACUUAAAAUGGUAGAGGGUAAGUCUACAUAAGAAGGAAAGACCAUGCCUCUGCCAAAAACGUGGGAAGACCUUAUUGUGUCAACAUCAAUACCAUCAAGUCACAAGUUGAUAGUGUUAGGUGAAUCAUAUCCUCACAGUAGGUUGAUCUAGUCUACUGCUCUUUCCUUGCACAGUCGAAUGUUAGGAAGACCGGCAUAUUUUUAAUUCCAUCCAUUGACACUUCUCCCAUUUCUUGUGCUCCUUGUACAUGACAAAGCUGUAGAGUGUCAAUAUACUGAUAUACCUCAGUCUUCAGCCUGAUUCUUUCUUCCAAACUUUCCAUGAGAAUUUUCUUCAGCAUUUCAUCUUCCUCUUCAAGAAUCCUCAACCUUUCACCUAGACGAUUAAUUUCCUUUGCAUUAGCCACCAGUUUUCUCUCUUCAAAUGAACUCUCGGAUGAAAUAUCAGUCACCGUAUGAUUCGAAGUUGAAGCCCUUAAAUCUAAUGAUUUCUCCUUGUUUAUGUACCAGCCUUGACAACAUAUCGAUGCCAGGUUCUUUUUUUGCCCAAAAACUCCCUAUCUUCAUAAUCUAGUGCCUCGUAACUUAGACUGGACGACAUGGUUAUUGCAGUUUCCAUCUCCCCAAGUAAUCAAGCAGUCUACAAAAGUGGAUGUCUUUGCUUACAAGUUACAACCGAGAAUUGCAGAGGUAAUUGACGUGAGUUUAUUUAGUUUCCUUUUCUUAGAUUGUAAGAUAAAUGAGACUUUACUUGGUGGGUGGGUGUGUGAAAGAGACAAUGAAUUUAGCUGCUGCAAGAUUGGUCCCAUUAUAUUUGUAAUAUAAAUUGGGUACUAAAUUUAGCAUUUACAUGGUCAAGGCGGUUAAUGAAUGAAGUGUGUUUCUUCCGAACUCAGAAAUUAGCAGAGAUCAGUUCCGCCUACUAAGUCAAGCAGCAAACUUUGGCUGCAUGUCUGCAUGAGAUAAUGUGAUAUAAAUCUUGGAGAGGUAAACCAGUAAAUUCAAAACUUUUCUUACUUUUAAUCAAAUAUUCUCCCAAAAUUUACUAUUCAGAAACUCAUUCUAUACAAAAAAAAAAAAAAGGCUAAAAACAACCUAGUAAAGAAGAAUAGAAAAACUUCAUUUGCUAGAUUUUGAGGAUUAAAUAAAAGAAUGAUCAUUAUUUCCUCAAACCCUAUCCCAUUUUAGAUCUGAAGUUACUAAAUUUCAAUGAUUCGAUAUUGCAAAAAGAUUGUUAAUUUUCAUAUCCCACAAAUCACUAUGAGCAUCGGCUUCAGGGGGACACUUUUUUGGUGCGUAAAAGUCUGAAAACUGAGAAAAGUAUGCACCAUAAUGUCUUGAUAAAAGACUAUAAACAACACGACAAAAAUAUGCACAGCAUUAUCCAAGUACACAAGGCUUAUGUAGAGUUUAAAGUGUAGAAUACAAAAGAUUAUUACAACUACAAUAGGAAUAAUAAACUCUCAAAGUGUAAAACCGAACCAAAAUCGAUUCAAAGCUUCUUCAACACCACCAAUGAAGUGUUAUUGACGUUGAGCUCAGAUUUGUGCCACACCGGAUCAUGCACCAUCGUCCACGGGAAUGGCAAUGGAUAUAUCGAGAAAGGAUCCGCCGAAAGCCACCAAGAAUUUCGCCGGAGUUAUGGAAAGCUCCCACUUGGUUACCUCUCUAUGCUUUCUCUCAAAUGUUAUGCCAAGUCCAAGUAGAGAGAAUGAAAAGGUCUUGAAAUUAUAGAGCCAAUUCAUUUGAAUUCAAAAUUCAAAUAUUGUACUAUGGUCUAGAGAGUGACAAUACUAGUAUAGGUAAUUAACCACUAAAUUAAAUCCAACCAUUGGAUUUAAUCUAUGGUCCAUAUCACUCCAUAACUAGCACAAUCCAAGUCACAUUCUCUAGACCAAUCAACUUGUACAAAUACUAUGUUGUGAUCCACCUUUCAAAUCUUCACCUUGGAUCACAUAACAUCCAUCGCCAAAUUCCCCGGAUACAAGUGAUAUCCAUUAGUGUGGUCUUAUUUUUAUCAUUAUCGCUCACUCCAACUUAGUACCUGCACAACAAUUAACCAUUAUCAAUACUUAGUAUUGAUAAACAUUUGUUGAACUUACCAACCGCAAGUACUUUUGAUCCAACAUCUGCAAGGUUAUCAUCAGUCGCAAUUUUAAGCAAAAUAAAAUCAUCAGAAGCUAACUUCUCCCUAAUGAAGUGAUACUUCACCUCAAUAUGCUUAGUACGUUCAUGAUAAAUAGGAUUUUUACACAACAUCAAUGAACUUUGACUAUCAGUAAAAAUCAUAGCAUUAUCAUUCAAGAAGUUUAAUUCACAGAGAAGGCGUUUCUGCCACAUGCAUUCCUUUACAGCUUCAUUUAAUGCAACAUAUUCUGUUUCAGUGCUGAAGAGUGUAACUAUAGGUUGCAACUGUGAUUUCCAAGUGAUACAAUUAUCACAUAAAGUGAAGAAGUAAGAAGUGGUAGAUUUCCUCCGAUCUUUAUCCCCGGCAAAGUUAGAAUCUACAUAUCCUUUAAGUUAUAAUUUGUUACUUCUUCUUUCAAAUACCAAUCCCCUUUUCAAAGAUCCAGCUAGGUAUCUUAAUAGCCAUUUAAGUGCAGUCCAAUGUGGUUUACCUGGGUUAGACAUAAACCUACUCAAAAAACUAACUGCAUAUGCAAGGUCCGGUCUUGUGGUAAUCAUAGAAUACAUUACAGACCCAAUGGCAUUAGCAUAGGGAACAUUACUCAUUUCAUGCAUUUCUUCUUCAGUUUUAGGGCAUUGUGUAGAUGAUAAGUUCGUGUGUGCAGCUAAUGGUAUAUUGACAGACUUAGCAAAUUUCAUACCAAAUUUGGUUAUCACUUUAUUCAAAUAAGACUCUUGAUUAAUAAUCAUCCCAUUACCAGCCCUAUUCCUUUUAAUAACCAUACCAAGAAUUUUUCUUGCCUCUCCUAAGUCUUUCAUGUCAAAUUUCGAUUUUAAAAGGUUUUUCAUCUUUAUGAUUUCAGCUUUACUAGGACUAGUAAGCAACAUGUCAUCCACAUAUAAUAAUAAAUAAACUUCACAGCCUAUUUUAGAGUUAUUGAAAUAUAGACAUGCAUCAAUUUCACUCCUCUUAAAACCAAUUUUAAGCAUAAAAAGCAUCAAAUCUCUUAUACCAUUGCCUAGGACUCUGCUUAAGACCAUAUAAGGACUUUCUAAGCAAACCCACAAGUUCUGAUUUUCCUUUCACCUCGAACCCUUGAGGUUGAGACAUGUAAAUCAAUUCAUCUAACUCCCCAUGAAGAAAAGUCGUCUAAACAUCUAGUUGCUCCAAUUCCCAAUCAUACUGGACAACCAAGGCUAAGACUAACCUGAUAGUUUUAUACUUAAUAACUGGUGAGAAUACCUCAUUAUAUCUAUCCCUUCUCUCUGAGUAAAUCCCUUCUCAACCAAUCUAACUUUGUAUGUUAAAGGGUCUUUAGGUCCUACUCCUUCUUUUAACUUGUAGAUCCAUUUACAAUGGACUACCUUUUGAUUCAUUGAUUUUUCAACCAACUUCCAAGUCUCAUUUUUGUUUAGAGACUGUAUCUCUUCUCUCAUUGCCUUUUUCCAAUUUUCAGAAUUUUCACAGUUAACCGCUUCCUUAAAUGAAGUCGGUUCAACUGACUCCAAGGCUUCACCUGAAACUAGGACAAAUUCCAUCAAAUUUGAAGAGAUGUAUUUCAAAUUGGGCUUCACUUGUCUUCUCUCUCUAUCCCUCACCAAUUGGUAAUCAUCCAAAUUAGUACCCGUAGAUGUUUCUUGAUUAGGGAUAACAGUUUCAGGAAUUUCAAGUUCAGGUUGUUCUAUCACUGCUUCUUGAUCAGAUUCUUCUUGAGGUUGAAUUUCACUAUCCUCUAGAUUAUCUUCUAAUCUCUUCACCUCAAAUUCCAUCUUCUUUCCAAUAGAAGAUUCUCCUUCCUUAAUGUGUUUGUUCUGACUUACUAUGUUUUUAAGACAAGGCAUAUCAAGUUUAUUGAACAUUACAUCUCUACUGUUAAUAAUCUUAAUGCCCUUUACACCUAAAACCCAUAGUCUAUAUCCUUUUACUCCCUCUGGAUAACCUAACAUGACACACUUAGUAGCCCUAGGGUCCAAUUUGCCCUCAACCUGAUGUGCAUAAGCCGCACAACCAAACACUCUAAUAUGUGACAAAUCUGGAGAUUUUCCAGACCACAACUCUUGAGGAGUUUUGAAGUUAACAGAACUAGAAGGUGACCUAUUUAUUAAAUAGGCAGCAGUGCACACGGCUUCACCCCAGAAACCUUUAGACAACCUAGAAUUAAUCAUCAUACAUUUGACUUUAUCCAUUAAAGUCCGAUUCAUUCUCUUCGCUACCCCAUUUUGUUGAGGGGUAUGUCUUACAGUCAUGUGCCUCAUUAUACCCUUUCCCUUGCAGAAAUUAUCAAAUUCGAAGUUGCAAUACUCUAAACCAUUAUCCAUCCUAAGAGUUUUCACGCCUUUUCCUAUUUGAUUUUCAACUAAGGCAAGCCAAGACUUAAACUUACUAAAAGAUUCAGAUUUGGAUUUAAGGAGAUACACCCAAACUUUCCUCGAGUGAUCUUCAACAAUGGAUUGAAAAAAUCUAUUUCCUCCAUGUGUGGGGUGUUUCUUAGGACCCACAAACCUGCAUGAAUGUAGUCCAAUGGUCUCUUAGUGUUGUGUUCACCUGUCCCAAAGCUAACAUUGUGUAACUUUCCUAGAACACACGUUUCGCAAAAAUUUAAAGGUGUAACACUAUCCUUACCAAGUAAAUUUUGAUCACUAAGUAUUUUAAUCCUUUGUUCCCAAUGUGUCCCAUCCUCUUAUGCCAAAGAUCUGAUUUAUCUUUAGAAACUAAAGAUAAUGCCGACUCUUUACUAUCCAAGGUUUUACCUUGAAGGACAUAUAACUCAUUCUUUUUGGGACCUUUCAUAACCACUAGAGAUCCUUUACAAAUCUUUAAAGUACCAGCAUGAGAUUUGAACUCAUGGCCUUCUUCUUCUAGAGUGCCUAAGGAAAUGAGAUUCCUUGCCAGGCCCGGGACAUACCUAACACCUCUAAGGGGUCUGAUAAUGCCAUCAUGCAUCCUAAUAGCAAUACCACCUACUCCUUCUAUAUUGUGUGUACGAUCAUCCCUUAAGUAUACUUUUCUAGGAUUCACAUCUCUAUAGUUAUAGAACCAAGAUUUAACAGGACACAUAUGAACAGUAGCACCAGCGUCUAAUACCCACUCAGUGUCAAAAUCAAUAUUAGAAAUAUUCAUGACAUGUAUGUUAUCACAAGCACCAUUUAAAUCGGUGUCAAAAUCUCUUGACACGGUCAUAACAUGUAGGCAAUCGAGGGAAUCACUUACAGCAACUAAGUUCUAAUCAUCAUUUUGCUGCGGUCUUUGUUUCCUUUUAAAGUCAUUACAGUCUUUCUUGAAAUGUCCUAACUUGCUACAAUGGAAGCAUUUCUUACCACUCUUAUCUCUAGACUUAGACCUACCCUUCGAUUUUCAUCUGCCCUUCUUACUUUGAAAAUGGUUCUCCCUCGUCUCACUCCUCCAUCUAGCAAACAAACUCUCUUCUCUCGAGCUACCCCUUGACUCUUUCUUAAGCUCUAGCUCCCUAGCCCUCAAAGCAUCAGUCACAAUAUCUUGGGUCAAAGUAUCCCUAGCAUACGUGAUAGCAUUCCUAACAUCUCUAUAAGAUUCGGGCGUAGCAUUUAAAAGUAUAACCGCUAGAUAUUCAUCAUCAAAUUUCUUGUCGUCGUGGGCCAAACACUUGACGAGUCUGUUAAAGUCACUCAAAUUUGAUUCAAGAUUCUUUUCCGGGUCUAGCUUAAAACUAAACAGUUUUUGAAGCAAAUGUAUUUUGUUUGGAAGAGAUUUUUCCAAAAAAAGCUUGUCAAGUGCCUCCCACAACUCGGCAGUCUUAUGUCGUUCAACUUGUCCUAACACAUCAUCAGAUAAAUGCAAUAUAAUCAAACUAUUUGCAAUUUCAUUCAUCUCAGUGAUUUCAUCUGAUUUAGCUUUUAAUGCAUCGGAAUAUUUUUUCGGGUCGUCAAGAGCUUUAGAAACUUUUUGUUGAAUUAAAAUAGCUUUCAUUUUUUGCUUUCAAAUGGAAUAAUCUCCCUUAUCAUUGAAUUGUGUCAAUUCAACUCAAGAGGCCAUAUUAGCAAAAUAAUGUUUUCGAAAAAGUUUUAUUUAUCCAAUUUACCCACACACAAAUACAAGCUCAAACCAAUUUCUAUAUAAAUUACUUUCAAGCUCAAACCAAUUUCUAUAUAAAUUACUUUCUAAGAUGACAUAAAUGAUGAUAUCAUAACAAGUAACACAUAACCAAUAUCACAAGAGUCAAGUAACAAUAUGGCAGUAAAUAACACAAUAUUUCAAUUAUAAAUUCGAGAGGGUCUUAAAAUGCGCAAACCAAGCGAACCAAUCUAUUGGUUCGUAUUUUAAGGAGAGAUGCGAGUCUUUAUCGAUUUGAAGCCUCCAGUAACAACCCUAAGUCAUCCAACAGCCGCUGAAACACUAGGAAACACCACCGAGCCGCUAACGGAAAAGUUUCUCCGUUUCCACUUUUCUGCCCAAGACUGUAUCUUCUUCCACAGUGCACCAAACAGAAAUCCAACACCACCAGAAUGUCAGAAAUUCAUCAAGGAAGAAUCUGUAUUUUUUGAUCUCCAGUUGAAACCUCACGAUGCGCCCUCACGUGUCGCCUUUGUUCUCUUCGUGUGGUCUCACAUGCCACCUCCACCGUCGGCGCGUGACUCACCCGCGCUUCACUGGAAUAUAGUGCUUGACGUCCGGAGUCUGGUGGUGGUCUCCGUUCGUCCACCAGAUGUGUACUUUUUUCAGAAAAUGGGUUCAAAGUUUCUGCUCAACUUGUUUUCGAACAAAACCGAACCCCUUCGACUUCUAAUCUGAUUUUGAAGUUGUUUUAACACUUUUUACCACUAGCCUAAGCUCUGAUACCAUCUGUAGAGUUUAAAGUGUAGAAUACAAAAAAUUAUUACAACUACAAUGCGGAAUAAUAAACUCUCAAAGUGUAAAAACGAACCAAAACCGAUUCAAAGCUUCUUCAACACCACCAAUGAAGUGUUCUUGAUGUUGAGCUCAGAUUUGUGCCACAUCGGAUCAUGCACCGUCGUCCAUGGGAAUGGCAAUGGAUAUACCGAGAAAUGAUCCGUCGGAAGCCACUAAGAAUUUCGUCGGAGUUAUGGAAAGCUCCCACUUGGUUACCUCUCUAUGCUCUCUCUCAAAUGUUAUGCCAAGUCCAAGUAGAGAGAAUGAAGAGGUCUUGAAAUUAUAGAGCCAAUUCAUUUGAAUUCAAAAUUCAAAUAUUGUACUAUGGUUUAGAGAGUGACAAUACUAGUAUAGGUAAUUGACCACUAGAUUAAAUCCAACCAUUGGAUUUAAUCUAUGGUCCAUAUCACCCCAUAACUAGCACAAUCCAAGUUAUAUUCUUUAGACCAAUCAACUUGCACCAAUACUAUGUUGUGAUCCACCUUUCAGCUUAUUUUCAAUUGUAAGUAUAGAUAUUCCUUUUCCUAUCUUAAGAAAAAAAGAAAAUGAGGAACACUAAUACAGGUACACAUGUGCACAUCUACAAUGGGAAGCCUCAAGCCCGAAUACUCUUCCAUAAUUCCAUUUAUCUUCUAUCAAUGACGAGAUGAGAAGAGCAAGCUUUGCUAGUCAUCGGGGACAUCCACCUCCAUUUUCAAACCGGGUUGUCUAAUAUCUGAAACAAGAGCGUUUUAACAAUGAUAAAUAUUACGCAUAUGAGAAAAACAAUGCUAGAAGAGGCAAAAUGUUAAGCAGCUUCAUCCAACUUUAUCCUGAGCUACCUCUGUAGUUGGGCAAGUCAAACAUAUAUAGUCUAGCAUUCCACAACUUGCGCUUCAUUUAGGGGUGGGCUCUACAGUACUCAAUAGUAUUAAAAAAGAAAAAGAAGUCGAAAUUUUGUCUAUUGUAGUGUCACGUCAAAUUCAGACAAGUACUGCAUAUCAAACAUAUGCUAUUAGAGGACUAUUUUUGUUAAAAUGCAACCUACCAAACUAGAGGUGAAUGAUAUUUUAAGACAGAAGAGGAUGACAACUUUAUGAUGUUUCUUCUAGAUGCUGUUAAAGCAAGAAAGCUCGGGGCAGAUUUUUAGAGGAACCUCUGGCUACGCAUUCCUGGAAUUUCGGAACAUAUUUUAUUGAGAGUUUUAUCAUUCACGUGCACAUUGAUCUAGCUAUUUAAGUUUUAACAUGUCAACUCUUUUGGCCAUUAAUUUCGUAGUUUAUUGUCUUUUUAUAACACAUUUUUGAAUAGAAACUUUUGCCUGCCAGGACUUGUCUCUUAAGGCCAUAAUUUAAAGGAGCCAACAAUGAAAUGUAGGAUGAUACGAGCAUGGUACAAGUAAAGUUCACCGCUUAAUAAGGAAGCAGCUUGAAAAUGUGCGUGUUUGAUAAGCUUAAAACAUCUACUUAUAUAAGUAAAUAAGUUUCUAUUAAAACUAAUAAUCCUUUUAUUGGUCAAGAUUAAGAAUAAGAAGUUAUUUAUUUUGAAAGUAAUGUCACCUAACUAUCAGAAUAAAGUAACUUGUAAGUAAUGUUUAGAACAACAUUUAUUUUUACGCUUAGUCAAACAUGCUCGUGUGUCAUAUGAGUCUAUAUAUAAGUUAACAAACAAAUAGACCAUCAGAAAAUAGUAUUUCAGAUAGACGAACCUUGACAAAGUCAUCUAACAGAAGAUAAGAUUCCUUUGUAUAACCAGCUUCAUGCAAAAGUUGGCUUAAUACUUCCUGCAAAACACAGAAUUAAAUGCAAUGGUGUAAAAAACACUACAGAAAAUAUAAGUAUGAUGUAAGAGUAGAGAUUUCUUAAAAGUAAUGUAAAGAUAGAGAAAAUUAAAAGCAAUUAUACUGGCAGGCCAACAAACACAGAAACAAAACAUUUAUACAACUCAUUCGUUGUCCGUCGACAAAUUAUUAUCACAUUUAAUCAGUUAACUAUUAAAACUACUGUGUAAGUGUAUAAAUAUUGAGGCAAUCGCUUAAAGUUACAACCAUUUAUGGUUCCACUACUCAAACCCUAAUUUGGCAUGGAUCAUUUAACACACAGCAGAAGCCCUACAAAUGAUCUUAACUUUUACGACUCUUAUCUCAUGAUUGUGGUCCAAUACUAAAAAUUAUUUAGCAACCUAAAACUUGCCAAGUUAAAUUCUGAAACACCGGAUUCAUUAUACAGAACAAAAUAGCAGAAUAAAACAGGAGCAUUGUAAUACCUCUCUUUGCUUAUCUGACAUGAAUGAGCCAGUCAAAUCAUGGAGCACUUGUAUUAUGUCAUUAAAUGUUACCUUUCCAUUGCAAUCAGAGUUGUAUAUUUUGAAGAUAACUAUCAGAAAAUGAAAAAAACAAUUAUGCAGAGGAGAAUGACGAAAAUGCAGAACUAUUUCUCCUGUAUCUUGUAUAUAUGAAUUAAUAUUUACAGCUAUAUAUAGAAAUGUGACUAUUAUACAAUCAUAACAGAAUUGGAAAGAGAAAGAAUCCCUCAUCUUCUACACUACUCUUCUGUUAGAAUAUUCCUCACGCAAGUGGCUAUAUCUUUCUUCUUCUAGAAUACUUCCUCAGGCUGUUUACGUGGCUUGUCCAUGUCAGCUCAUCCAUGUGGCAAUUCAUUUUUCAACAAUAACUGAGACAUUAAAGCACUGUACAGAGUUAAUAAAUUGAACAGCAUAUGCUAAAUUAUUUACAUUUAAAUAUUCGCCAGGUCAAUAGGAUCACUGAUUGGAAUUAAAAUCAAAACAUCAGAAGAAUAAAGCAAUAAACUUUGCCAAGAAGAUUUACCCAAAAAAAAAAAAGAAACAAAAAAAGAAGAAGAAGAAUAGUCUAAAAAUAUAAGAAAAUGUAAAGGAAAAGACACAAAAAAGCGCUUCGGUAACCAAAAAUAACCGAAAAUGCUUAUGCAUUUGUCAGUUCCAGUCUAUAGAUUAACAUUUCUCUUCAUAACCAAUUGAAUCAUCUCUCUUUGGAGAUGUAAUCAUAAGGGUUUCUUAGAGUUACUGUGAAUCCUCAUUCCGGGACAAAUGAAAUUUCAUUUGGUCCUAUAAUUAAAUCAGAUUCUAGAAAGAAUACUUCGUAAAAACUAUGUCAAAACCAAACAGAUUUAAAUAUCCAAACUUAAAUCUUUCAAUUUCUAGAUCAAUCAACACGAAAAAGUACUAGUAGCAAUGAAUUUACCGUGAAACAGAAGAUUUGGUAUGCAUUAAAUUCUGAAUACAAAUGAGGCUUAAUAGACCUACUCUCAAUUUUUUGAGGCACCGUUGCUUUAGCACUGAAAGCUGACAAGAAUGCAACGAAUUCCUUGAAAUUCAAUCCAUCCACCAACUUCAGUAGCCUCUAUAAGCAUCCAAAAAAAAAAAAAAAAAAAAAAAAAAAAAAAAAAAAAAAAAAAAAAAAAAAAAACAAAAGAAAGAAAAGAAUAAAAAAUCAUCGAACAUGUUACAAAUAAGAAUAACAGAAUGACAACCACGACAAAAGAGCGCGUUUGCCGAAGCUUCGACGGUUACUUUCGAAGUUAAGUGAUUUUUAACUUUUUUUUCAAACUAGCCACACGUGCCCAAAAUCACCUGAGAAAGUGGAUUCAUUGCAAACUCAGGUGCUGAUAAAAACUCAUCUGCUGAUAUGAACCCCUUUGCAUUCUUAUCGAGUUGGCAAAAUCUCUUAUACACAGACACUAUUUCUUGCUGAGUAACUAUAUUAUUACAAAAAAUAAAAAAAUACAUUCAGUUCAGCAGAAAUUGAAAACUAGAUAAAAACAAAAAUCGAGAUUCUGGGAAUAAGCAAAAGGGUACUCACACAGAUAAUUACAGUGUUCUUGAACUUCUUCAAUUUCAUACUGAGUUAACAUCGAUGAAGCGCUGCCCAUUGCUAAAUUUCACUGCGGAAAAAAACCCAACAAAUUUCAAUGUAAAUAACGACCGACUUAUCAAAAUCGCAUUUUUCACAUAUAGAAUCCAAUAAACAUCGAAAAAAGUAACAAACGACAAAAAGAAAAACUAAAAAAGGAGACCUGAAAUUCCAAGAUAUUUCUGAAUCGAAGGGACCAGAAUGAAGAAAGAAAAGGUAUAGUAAAGUGAAGGAUAAGAAUCUAUAAUGCGUAAUAAUAUGAGAAAAAUUUGGAUAGAGUCUGCUUAGCCAAAAAUGCAAUCUUGUUUUUUUUGGCAAGGUGACGAGGAAAUUUAUGUUUAUCCAAUAAGGCCUUGUUUGAAUCUGAUACAUAUAUGAUUAAGCGUGUCUAAGCCCUUGGGUCCCAUUUUUUCUUCAAAAUAUAUUUUUUAACAGUAAUUUGACAUCAUUUUAAUUAUACAUAAUAUAUUUUUCAAUAAAAUAAUAUUACAGGCAAAUAUAGAAUUUUUUAUUAUUUUUUAAUCACACAUUCUCCAUUAUAACACUAUUAAAAAAGGAUUUUUUUUGAGAAAAAUAGGGUUCCAACAACCCCUAAAUGUAACCGAUGGCUUGUUUGUUAAAGAUUUUUUAACAAGCAAAUUUUUUAAAAUAACUUUUUUUUUUUUUUUUGAAUGUAUGGCUAAAAGUAUGAAAAUAUUAUGAAAGAGACAUGAAAAAUUAUAUUUGUUGGGGAUGUGCGAUUGAAAUUGAGUGAAAGGGAAAUGAUUAUCAAAUAAUCAAAAUCAAACAAGGAAGGAAUGACUUGAUCUAUUUUUUAUAAUAAAUUUUUCAAUUCAAAUAAUAUAGAUUUUUAUCAAUUCAGCUACGUGUCAAAUUUGAUUAAGAGAGUUUGUUAUCAAAGCCUCAUCACUAUGUUAAGACUUACGAAACUUCAUUAUAAUAAAAGGGAAAGUCUUUUUCUAGUUUCGUGACCUCUUUUAUAAUGCUUCAACCUGAAGAAAUGACUUUUAUCUAGUUUUACAAGGAAGAUAAACAUGUUUUACCAAAUGCGUUUGACUAAUUUGAUAAGAUAAAAUGUGCAAUAGACGAGAAUAAAGAUAUUUGAAACAACUUAUAAAAAAUAGUUUUGGGAUCACAAUAAUAAGAUUUUUGAAACUAGGUAGUUGCAAAUAAUUUGAUUUGAAAUAAUAAUCUAUUUUCCUAUUAAUUUGAUAUUUUAGUCAUUCCAAAACUACCUAAAAACGAAGAAAUUAUUUUUGCUGAAUGAUUUGGAUAGAGUGGUCUAAAAAUGUUGUUCAAGAAAUGCUAGUAUUUUGAAUGUACAGUGGAAUCUUAAAAUCGAGUUCUACCUGAAGUAUUCACAACAAUUAUAAUUAUUUCUGGGUGACCCUUGUUGUGGCAACCACGCAAGAAUUACUUGUGAUAAAAUACUAGUUUUUUAGAAAUGCCUAACAAGAAAAAUGAAGCCCCUCGAACAUCAGAUAAAAAGAUGUAGAUUGUUAACGUUACCUUACUCGUUGUCUAUCUUGUAAUCAUUUAGUUCUGCCUAUACAAAGGAUAGCUCAUGCUCCUCUUCCUUCAUUAUUGUUGACCUUUCGUUCCUAGUGGUCAUGUAUAGUGAGAAAGUUCUCAUUGCCUUUAGACGAGAAAGCUUACAUCCUCUAGACAAAUCAAUAGGAAAUGCUACAACUUUUCUUUUGACGAUCAAACACUUUGGAGGUUUCUUUCUAUACAAUCGAAUUAUACUCUGCCUGAUCUUACUUUUGACAGUUGUGUAUUUGACAACCAUCAUCGAAAUCAUUUGAAGGCUAGAUCAUGGAGAGAGUGUCAACCACUCAAAUUGAAGCCAAACAAAGGAAAUAAAUAUCGAUCUAGGAAAGGUAGACUAAGGUGACUAGCACGACAAGCUAUCACGAACUGGUACUCCUUCUCAACCUCAUAAAUUUUUGAAGACAUUAACUACACUUCUUAUAAGCCUAUGUAAAUGGUAAUUUAAAUUUCUACUCCCUUGUUUGGUUGUGGUUCUCUCUGAAAGGAAGCAACCACUGCCCAAACAUGCUCAAAAUGAUAAUUGAUGCCACGAAACGACUUCACUACCAAUUUUUCUCCCAGCCCACACAAAAAUAGUAAUUCGAUGAUGAUGAAAAGGAAAUGCAAUAAUUAAGUUAUGCCAAAAAUAAUAUGAAGUUAAAGAUUCAACAGCUUGUAAUAAAUUAAAUACAACCCAACCCUCCAGAAAAAUAUAUAAUUAAAUAUCUUAGAAACAAAUGAUACCAUAGUUAUAGUCAAUUAAGCCCUAUUUAAUACUCAUUUUUGAAAGUACAUUUUUCUCUCAAACCCAUUUUCGAUCAUAUAUUCUACCAAUAAAUAAUUUUACAUAUAAUUUAUAAUUUUUUAACCAUACAUUUUUUCAAAAAUUAUUUCCCAAAAAUCUAUUUAAAAAAAAAAAUUGCAUCCAACAAGCUCUAAAUGACAAUUUUACUGUCAUCUGCUUGCAUUUUCAACCACAUCAAUGUCUAUUAUUAUUAUUAUUAUUAUUAUUAUUAUUAUUAUUAUUAUUAUUAUUAUUAUUAUUAUUAUUAUUAUUUAUUUUUUAUUUUUUAAAUAUCAGCAAACUAAAGAAAAUAUUAAUAUAAUCUUAUCAACAUCUAGGGAAAUAUGAUAAAAAUUAAUUAAAUAAAAUAGUGAUUUGAUUAACGCCACAUAGUGCCAGCUCAUUUAUGUUUUGCUACAAUUAUGCUCCUUAGACAGGAUUGUUGACAAGGUGGGGGUAACAGGGCGAGAUUGGGUGCUGAAUUUUUAUUUUUAUCUUUAUUUUUAAAUUGUUUAAUCAUGUAUUGACAUAUGUCCACUUUCUUAUAAACUCCAUCGUUGAGCCUAUAACUAUAGUAAGAUUGAUUUUGCUAUGCCUUGUUAAACACUUUACUAACACAUACAACACUAUCGACAAUAGUCAAAAAUCAUUGUACAAAUGACAUAUCCUUGACUCUAAUUCCUUAGAUUCUUUUUUUUUUUAAAAUUACCUUUUAAUCACAAACUUUUCAAUAAAAUAAUUCUGCAUAUAAUCUCAUUUUUUUUUCUAUUUUUAACCACAUACUCUCCAAAACAGAAAUCACUAUUAUAAAAUUAAUAUCCCAAAAAAUGAGGUUCAAACAUAGCCAAAUUGAGAUGCUAUUUAUUUUAACUAGUCAAAUAUUAAAAUAAGCUCCAAAAGCUUUGCGGAAGUGUUCUCUACUAAGAUUUUAAUGAAUUUUAAAAAAUUAUAAAUUUUAAUGAAUUUCAUGGAUUUGAAUAGAUUCUUACAAAUUCCUUAAGAAUCUCAUCAAAUAUUGUGAAAUUUCAAAAGAUUUGGUAAUAUGUAUUUUUAAACUUGAGAUCUAUUCAAAUAUUUUAAAAUUCUUUUAUUAAUGAAAUUUUUGUAAAUUAAUUAGUUAUUGAGGAUACCUAAAUUUUAAAGGAUUUCAUUAAAUUUUAUUAAAAUCUCAAUUGGGAAUACCUAAAUUUUAAUGGAUUUCAUAAAAAUUUGUUAAGAUCUCAAUUGAAGACAUCUAAAUUUAGAAUAAUUUUAAAAAUCCAUCAUAAUCUCAAUUGAGGACACCAUUUUAAUAUAUUAACUUUUUAAAAUUGAGUAUUUUAUCGAUUUACAUUUGGCCCCUAUUAGACCCUCAUUUUUAAAAUAUACUUUGUUGCGGAAGCUCUCUUGAAAGAUCUUCAAAUCGGUGAUUUUCGGGCUCAAUCCAACGCACCUUUCUCAACCAACAACCAGUUCAAUCGGCUCCAAACCACAACCAAUUGAUUCACCUUGAUUGCUAUUCACUCUUACCUACGUAGGACAAGAAAGGAUGAUGAUUUGUAGCCACAAAGGCUAGGAGAAGACACCACAAAGGUAUACUAUCAAGGAACCACCAAUUGCACAAAUUAUACAAGUGUUCUGGACACUUCUGAAGACCUUUUUUCUCACAUAAAGGGGGCAGCCGGGAUUCUCUUUUUUCUUCUCUCAAAAUCACACUAUCAUCAUAAGAAAGUGGCUAGGGUUAUAGCCAUAUAUAUACUCUAGGGUUAGGCUUUAAGUUGGACCAUUAAAGGGUUAAAUGGGCCAAGAUUUAAGCCAUCCAUAAGGGAAUACAAUUGGACCGAGUGUAGCUCAUGGACUUGGUUGUUGGACUUAUUUCAUUCAUUGGCCUAUACCUAUGAAAUAAUAUUAACACACGUUAACAUCAUAACCUAGAAUUUAUUGGGUAUCAAAAAACCCAACAAAUCUCCACCUUGAUGCCCAAUAAAUCUGCAAGCAAUCAAAACACACAGUUAACACUUACAUAAUCAAGGUAGCCAAUAAAAUUGGAUCACAGACCUUAUCUCAUGUUUCCAACUUGCAACACAUACCAUACCUUCUCCAUGUACUCACUGGGGUUAAAGUCAAAAACACCCAAGUAGAAGCAAAUAUUUAACAGUAAACUAUUGAGAGCGAAUACACGUGUGAUGACGAUAUACUAUAGGAUAACACACACAGAUCUUUUCAAAAACACGUUCACAUAGAACCAUAGAUUAAAACCAAGCCAAUCAAACCACGGUCAACCACAUAUGCAACACAUGCAUAAAUGACCCUAAGAAAAGAUCUCACCACACUUAUCCUAUCCCAUUCUGUGUUGCUCACACCUCGAGAACACAUAUCUUCUCUUAUCGUCCACCAAGCUCACUAGACAGAUCACUCAACUCAUGUUUAACUGGUAAGUCACAAUAGAUCUUAAGUCCACGGGAUAAUCUUCUAUCUCCACAUCACUUCUCCCAACCUACGUGGAUAAUGGGUUUCCACCUAAUAGAAGUGAUAGAAGUGUCUCUCUUAUACUCCACCUGAUCAGGGUCUCUUUCCAGAUAAAGAAUUCUAGACAUUUGAUCAUAUCUCCACUCGUGAUCCAAAUGUCACUAUAGACAUAAAAAUAAAAUAAAAUGAAAUGGAUUAGAUCGAUUUAAAUCAUCAGCUCAAUUAAAUUAAAAUCUACUAAGGUCCAUAAAUCCAAAGGCCUAUAUCAUAUUUUAAAUAAAUAAACAAACAAAUAAAUAAAAUCAUAAUUACUCAAUUAUCUCUUUUAAUUAGAUGUAAUUGAGUAAUUACCAAAAUUAGCGUGAAUUCUCGACUAUAAAUAGGACCAAUGGUCCAUAAGAAAGAGGGGACACAGAAAGUAAGCAAGAAAGAAAGUAGAGAACGCCACGAAGUGUUGAAGAAAUCACAAGGCUAAAAGAAGGGAAGAAAUUCUAUCAAACCUUAGCUCGAUGAACCCCAAGAAGAUUAAAAUCUUCUUCGAAUCAAACAGGUUCACGCCAAGUUUAAGGAGAUCAAAGUCUUCUUCAAAUCAAAUCAAAUUCAAGUCCAAGUCCAAACCUCAAGAUUCAAGUUCCAAACAAGUCAAAUAUCGACAAAUCAAAUUUUCAACAAAAUUAUUGAAGACCAGGAUUCAAGCCACGUGGCCCCUCAUCUUCAAAUAUUCAGAUCAUUAAUCAGAGGAUUUUGUAAUUUUGCAAUUACAAGAAGGUCAACAUCACUUGUAUUUAUCAAAAUACAAUUUGUAAUGAUUUUUGUAUUUUAAUACACGAAAUUUCGUCGUACAAAUUUCUUGGCACGCCUUGUGGGACCUUCUUGUCCUUUCAUCUUUUGAUCUCAAAAUCUUUAAGUUUCAAAUACUACAUCAGCAAUGGCAGGCGAAAAGGCGAAACAAACUAUGACUCAUCUCGAAGAGACACUUGCUGAACUCUUCCACGUGACCAGGGCCUAAACAAAAACUGGGAAAACUCAACUGGUCACACCAUUAAAGAAAUUCUCCAACAAAAACAGAAUGAAAAUUGCCUUCAAAAAGUCAAACUCUCAUUCGACACAAAAAAUCAUGAGUUCGACGAAAAACUCUCGUUCAGGAUCCAUCUCUAGUGGUAGAUCCUUAUUUGGAUCCCGUCAUGCUACUUCUCAGCAAAAGUGAGAAGAUGAUACUUCAUCUGAAGAAUCACUUGAGCCAGUGAUGGUCACAGAAGCGGCAUCGGGCUCAGGUGAUCGAAUCCAACAAUGGCUUUAGCUAUUGAAAAAUUAACAAAAUCGUUAGAAGAAAAAGAUGCCCAAAUUACCGCACUCAUACAUAAACUAGAGUCGUAAAAUCCACCGGUUAAAGAAGAUCAGGAAAAUUUAGGAUCUUCCAAGGCCAAAGAGUUAGAAGUCCAAGAGCAUCAACAGAAGCAAGAUAUACAUGAUCGAACAAUUGUUCAAAAUGUGUUACGUGACGCCACUUAACUCUCCGUUGGCUCUCUAUCUGUCCAACAACUUCAACAUAUAAUUGCGGACACCAUUCGUGCCCAAUAGGUGGUUCGUUGCAAUCUUCAUUGGUGUAUGCCAAACCCUAUAGUCGUCGAAUCGACAAAAUAAGGAUGCCACUUGGUUACCAACCUCCGAAGUUUCAAUGUUUUGACAGAAAGGACAACCCAAAGCAACAUGUUACUCAUUUUAUUGAGACUGUAACAAUGCAGGUAAUUACAAUGACAGAAUGGUGAAGCAGUUCGUACGCUCCCUCAAAGGUUUUGCAUUUGAAUGGUACACAGACUUAUCGACAGGGUCAAUUGAUAGUUGGGAUCAACUCGAGCGAGAGUUCUUAACACGCUUCUACAGCACCCGACGAACUGUCAGCCUUCUAGAACUUGCUCGAACAAAGCAGAGUAAGGAAGAGCCUGUAGUAGAGUACAUUGAACGCUGGAGAAACUUUGUGCUUAAUUGUAAAGAAUGAAUAAGUGAAGCAUCUUCCAUCGAUAUGUGUGUACAAGGCAUGCAUUGGGGAUUACUCUACAAUCUCCAAGCAAACAUGCCUCACUCAUUCGAAGAAUUGGCAACACGUGCUCAUGACCUGGAGCUCCAAAUUGCAAGGCAUGGGAGUUAUUUACCAAGUGACAAGAAAGAUCCUAAGAAGGAUAUAAAGAAGGACGUGAAGACAAGUAAACCCAAAGAGGCUAUGGCGAUUUCUACUGUUCCUGCAAAGAUAGCCAUCCAAGGGUCGAGCUCGAACUCAAAACUGAAGCUAGAGUUUAGACCUAACAAAGGACAAGUCCAAAGCAGAAGUCAUGUGACUCUAAAGGAACUUGAAGGAAUGGAUUACCCAUUCUCAGAUUUAGAAGUUUCUGGAAUUCUGGAUCAGCUCCUUGAACAGAAAACAAUCGAACUUCCAGUACCAAAAAGACCUGAGGAGGCUGGUAAGAUCGAUCAUCCUAAAUACUGUAAAUUUCACAGGAUCAUUAGCCAUCCAGUGGAAAAAUGCUUUGUUUUGAAAGAUCUUAUUGUUCGCUUGGACAAAGAAAAUAAGAUCAAACUUGAAACCGGAGAGAAUCCAACAGCUACAUGCUCGAUGGUUUCAUUUGGAUCAUUUGAUCCAAUUCCCAUUCCAGGAAAGAAACAAACAUUCUCUGAUGUACACGAUGCCUGUAAAUCCUCCGUUGAGGAAUUUGGACCUCAACUCCCGGAAGGAACCAUGCCAGUAAAAUUUGAGGUAGAUAAAGAAAUCACCAUCAGUUAUAUCUAUCCAGGGAUGAAUGGACCAAGCGCACCCAAUCAUCCAACCUUUUAUGAAAUUAUGACAGGAGACUUGGAUGUUUGGGAUUUCGACUCAGAAUUAGAAGACGAGAUCGGUGACGGCUGGUCUACCUUCAUAAAGAAGAAAGAGAAAUACAGAAUGUCAAACAAAAUAGGUAAACUAUUACCUUCUACUCCUCUUGCAAGAACAAAGAUGGAGGAAUUGGGUACGAAAAUUCAACCCAAUGAAGAAGAAAUACUAUGAGAAGAUCAGGGGGCAUGGACCCUAGUGAAAAGACGUCGUCGGAAGGCUCCACGACUCCUAAAUUCUAACUUUUGUGACAAGAAAUCAAGACCAAGGAACAAUCAAAGAAGGAGGUCUGAGGCCAAACCAAGAGUAUCUACUAAAUCAACCGAAGAGGGAGCAGCUCCACGCGUUCUUCCUAGACUAACGACCUUGGGUGAUUACUUUCCUAAGGGUUUCUUUGAUAAAGAAUGUCUAACCUCCAACGUAAUCAAUGUGAAGAAGAAAGAUGAAAUGAAGAACGUAUCAAGGCAAACUUCAAAAUAGAAGAAAACUAUUUCACGACUCAAUAAUAUUCCUGCCAAUACAAGUCCAGCAGAGUCUCUUACCCUUCCCUUCAAUGAUCGGAUGGCCUGGGUCGCAGCAUUAAUCGAUCUGGAAGAAUACGAAGGCAAAACUUUAGAACAUAUUGGAGCCACAACUCCUCAAGACUGUAUGGCCGCCAUAACAUUCGACGAUGGAGAUUUACAAUUGGGGUCACGUCCACAUAAUAGACCACUGUAUGUCAGCGAUUAUAUUCGAGAGCGCAAGAUAAAUCAUAUAAUGAUCGAUUGUGGAUCUGCUGUAAAUAUUAUGCUGGUCAAAAUAAUGAAGAAAAUUGGAAUCAAUGUUGGUAAUCUAUCCAGAAGCAAAAUCAUGAUUCAAGGAUUCAAUCAAAAAGGUCAGCGAGCCAUUGGCAUAAUUCGCCUAAAGUUGCAAAUAGGAGAGUUAAUCUCCUCGGCUCUUUUCCAUGUCAUUGAUGCUAAAACAUCAUACGAGUUACUCCUUGGACGUGUUUGGCUACACGAAACUGGAGUGGUACCUUCGACUCGGCACCAAUGCUUCAAAUAUAGCCGAGAUGGAGAAGUCAAAUGUGUGGUAGCUGAGUCGAAACCUUUUCUCGAAGAAGAAUCUCAUUUUGCCGAUGCCAAGUUUUACAUGGAAGGUGAAGAAUGUAAUUCUUCAGGGUUGACCUUAUCUGGAUUCAAAAUCAAAGAAGAUAGAAACGAUCAUGAUACGUCUCAUGCUGCUCAAUCUCAUCAACUUAUCAAAGAUAAGUCAAGAUUUACUAAAGGCAAAAACCUCAAGUAGAAUCAAUCGAUAUAGAGGUAUUGAGAAAAGAGUUAACUCUUCCAAUACCUAGUAUCCCAAAAUUGCUUUUGCCCCACUAACUUAUGGCGGGCGCCAAAGAAUAUAAAUCUACAUUAGAGGCUUCAACGGCUUCAACAUCUCUUCCUGACAUAUUAAAACUUUAUAUUUCCAGCUCGUCCAAACAAAAAGGAGCUGCUGAAUCAAAACAAACUUUCAAAGGAUGUUACAAUCCUCAAGUUAAGAAGUUGUUCAAAAAUGCUGGGUUUGGAAAAGGAGAGCCUCGUAAAUUAGGUGAUCUUGAUGCUGUCCUUUCAGGAGGGCGCCCCCUUCUAAUUUUGACAGAGCCUUGGUGUCCCGACCCAGGUAUGGUUUGGGAUAUGAUCCCAAUCCACCGAGAAAGAUUAAGGUCAAGAAGGUUUCCUCAAACCCCAUCAUGAUUCAAAUUUAUGAAGUUGCAGAAGAGAAAUCUGAACAGCCGAAACCUUCAGUAUUCGAUCGAAUUGAAAAUGAGAAUGCCAGAGUUUCGGUGUUUAAAAGGUUAAAAGGAGAACCCUCCCCAAUGGUCGAUGUAAAAGGUAAAGUGAAGAUUCUUCUUCUACCCAAAUUGAUAGGAAUGCACAAGCUUUCCAAAUGUUAUCCCAAAGACAAUCUGCAUUUUUCGACUUGGGAUUAAAACUUCUGAUCCAAGCCUAAAGCCACAACGGUCAAGAAGAAGACGAAGACAGCAAAAAGUUCGUCCGUCCCUAAAGGAGAGUGAAGAAAAGGAAGAAGUCUCUGUCAAUCACAUAGCCUUUGAAAAAGCUCCCGAUUCAGACUCCGAGUCCGAAAGUUUUGUCACAACUGAUGAACUUGAACCAGCCCCACCUACUUUUGAAGAAGGGGGACAAGCUACUGUGGAUGACUUGAAACAAUUGAACCUGGGAACCGAAGAAGACCCAAGACCAGUAUUUGUAAGUGCCAUUCUCAGUCAAAAGGAAGAAUCUAAGUACAUUAGUUUGCUUCACAAAUACAAAGACGUGUUUGCAUGGUCCUACAAAGAAAUGUCGGGGUUGAAUCCUAAGGUUGCAGUACAUCAUCUUGCAGUAAGACAUGGAGUUCGACCGAUCAAACAACCUCAGAGAAGAUUUCGACCAGAACUAAUUCCUCAAAUUGAAAUGAAAGUCAACAAAUUUAUUGAAGCUGGAUUUAUACGCGAAGUAAAAUGUCCAACAUGUAUCGCAAACAUUGUUCUUGUCAAAAAGAAGAACGGGCAAUUACGAAUUUGCGUUGACUUUCGAGAUCUGAAUCAAGCAUGUUCGAAAGAUGAUUUUCCACUUCUAAUAACAGAGUUGAUGGUGGAUGCAACUACCGCAUAUGAAAUCUUAUCUUUCAUGGACGGGUUUUUUGGAUACAAUCAGAUACGGAUGAACCCAAAAGAUGAGGAACUCACAUCAUUUCGUACCCCUAAAGGCAUAUAUUGUUACAAAGUUAUGCCUUUUGGAUUAAAAAAUGUGGGGACAACCUACCAGCGGGCAAUGCAAAAGAUUUUCGAUGAUAUUCUACAUAAAAACGUUGAAUGUUAUGUGGAUGAUCUUGUUAUUAAAACAAAAAGACGCAACGAUCAUUUACAAGAUUUACGAGAUGUUUUCAAAAAAUUUCGAAGACAUCAAUUAAAGAUGAAUUCGUUGAAAUGUGCAUUUGGCGUCACCUUUGAAAAAUUUCUCGGCUUCGUUGUUCGACACCGGGGCGUUGAAAUAGAUCAAUAAAAAAUUGAAGCUAUAAUCAACAUGCCAGAGCCAAGAAAUGUACGUGAGUUGAAGCUUGCAUACAUUCAAAGAUUUAUCUCUAAUAUAGCUGGAUGUUGUCAUCCAUUCAACAAAUUGGUGAAGAAAGAUGUACCAUUUGAAUGGGAUGACGCUUGUCAAAAUGCUUUCCAAAGUAUUAAACAAUAUUUGCCUCGUCCACCAGUACUCACAGCUCCAGUUCCAGGGAAAUCGCUGACUCUUUAUGUUGCAGCACAAGAAUGUUCUCUAGGGGCACUUCUUGCCCAAGUUAACGAAGAAGGAAAAGUGAAUGCAGUCUAUUACUUGAGCCGGACACUGGUAGGCGCUCAAAUGAAGUAUUCGCCUAUUGAAAAAAUAUGCCUCGCGUUAAUCUUUGCAGCUAAAAAGUUGAGGCAUUAUGCUAUCACACACAAUCAAUCUUGUUUCGAAGAAUGAUCCAUUGAAGUACAUAAUGUCCAGGCCGAUUCUUUCUGGAAGGAUUGGAAAAUGGGCAUUACCGUUGUCUGAGUUCGACAUCAAAUUCAUUCCACAAAAGGCCAUUAAAGGACAAACUUUGGUGAAUUUCCUUGCUGACCACCCAAUUCCAGCAGAAUGGGAACUUCAAGAAGACCUUCCCGAUGAAGAAGUUCUAUUCGUCGAAAUCAUACCAUCAUGGAGGCUAUACUUCGACGGGGCAGCCUGAAGUUAUGGUGCUGGAGCAGGAGUGGUCUUCAUCACUCUUCAUGAUCUCGUCAUGCCCUACUCAUUUGCCUUAAUAGAGAAAUGUUCGAAUAAUGUGGCAGAAUAUCAAGCUCUUAUCAUCGGCUUAGAGAUAGCUUUAGAUAUGGAUAUUCACCAGCUGGAAGUCUUUGGAGAUUCUAAAUUGAUAAUCAACCAACUUUUAGCUGAAUAUGAAGUCCGUAAUUUAGAUUUGAAGGCAUAUCAUGAACAUGCGGCAAUGCUUAUGAGAUGAUUUGAUUCGAUAAAAAUCAAAUUCGUCCCGAGAAGUGAAAAUAAGGAAGCUGAUGCCUUAGCUAAUUUGGCUGCUGUUUUAGCUAGAUCAUAUGAAGAAUUUUCCCACUCCAUAUCAAUUGUUCAAAGAUGGGUGCUUCCGUCAUUGCUACCCAGUAACUUGGAAGAAAACAAUAGUGUCGAAGUAGUCGAAGAUGAGGAAAGAGAAGAUUGGAGAUAGCCAAUAAUCGAUUUCCUUCAACAUCAAAAGCUACCAGAUAAUCCAAGACGAAAAACAGAAAUCAAGAGGCGUGCCUCUUGCUUUAUCUUUUAUAAGGGAACACUUUAUCAACGAUCAUUUGAUGGAGUUUUCCUUCGAUGCCUAAGUAAUGAUAAAGCAACGCAGGUCGUGAAAGAAGCCCACUCUGAAAUUUGUGGUGCCCACCAGUCUGGACCCAAACUCCAUUUUCGAAUAAAGAGGAUGGAAUAUUACUGGCCAACUAUGAUGCAAGACUCCAUGGAUUAUACAAGAAAAUGUGAAGCUUGCCAAAUCCAUGCAAAUUUCAUCCAUCAACCUCCGGAACCAUUACAUCCAACAAUAGCUUCAUGACCGUUUGAUGCAUGGGGUCUUGAUGUAAUUGGACCUAUAACUCCAAAGUCUUCAGCAGGGCAUGCAUACAUCCUCGCCGGGACUGACUACUUCUCUAAGUGGGCCGAAGCCAUACCAUUGAAGGAAGUAAAGAAAGAAAAUGUCGCAGAUUUCAUUCGUAUCCAAAUCAUUUAUCGAUAUGGUAUCCCGCGACAUAUCAUAACUGAUAAUGGCAAGCCAUUUUACAAUAGCCACAUAAACAAUUUAUGUGCAAAGUUUGGAUUCAAACAGUACAACUCGUCCAUGUACAAUGCGCAGCUAACGGAUUGAUAGAGGUAUUCAACAAAACACUAUGCAGUCUACUGAAAAAAGUUGUCUCCAAAUCAAAAAGAGAUUGACAUGAGAAAAUCGGUUAAGUCUUAUGAGCUUAUCGAACUACUUAUCGGACUCCAACACAAGCCACUCCUUAUGCCUUAGUCUAUGGGGUGGAAGCUGUCCUUCCCCUGGAGUGUCAAAUUCCGUUACUUCGAAUUGCUAUCUAGGAAGGUUUGACAACUGAAGAAAAUGCCCGCCUUCGAUUGGAAGAGCUAGAAGCUUUGGAUAAGAAGAGGUUAGAAGCACAAAUGCAUCUAGAGUGCUAUCAAGCUCGAAUGGCCAAGUCUUUCAACAAAAAGGUACGACCAAGAUCAUUUCAAGUUGGAGAUCUGGUACUUUCCGUACGCAGGCCAAUCAUAAUCACAAGAAAAAUAGGGGUCAAGUUCCAACCUAAAUGGGAUGGUCCAUUUCUUGUUACUCAUGCAUUCACUAACGGAGCGUACAAGAUCGUCGACAAAGAUGGAUUGCAAAUCGGACCUAUCAAUGAAAAAUUUUUAAAGCGUUUUUACGCCUGAAGUUCUUUAUUUUUAAAUUUUUCAUUGUACAAUAAAUAAAUUGUGUUCUUGUAAUGAACUAUGUUCGACUUGAUCUCAUUUGGGUACGUAGGCAGCUUGAAUAAAUUAUAAAUUCAAGUUCAGUCACAACUAAUAAAUUCAUUCAAUUUGUUUAUCAAUUGCUAUAAAAAAAACACAAGAAACAUGAAAAAGAAAAGUUCAUCCAAAUAAAAAUAGUAAGUCAAAAUUCAAACAAUAUGGUCUUAAAAAAAAGAGAAUAAAAAUUCAUGACUUCGUCAGGAUCACUCGCCAUUGAUCACUCACAGGAAACUAUCUUCAAGGGUCUUCAUUUUCUGGUCAAUGGAUGCUAUGCUAGCGACAUCUCUUGUCUGUGCUUCUUCCAAUGCUGUCUUCUUGGUUCUAAUCAUACUUUUGUCUUCCUCUUGGGCUUGAAGUUCAUCACGAAGUCUAGCUAACUCAAAGGUUAGCUCAUUAAUUUUGCCUCUCAACGAAGAACAUGUGGAAUCCUUUACUUCCAGUUGAAUGUUCAAAAGUUUCAACUCCUUCACCUUUUCUUCAACGGUUGGACAAUCCAAGUGAUGCUUUCUUUCAGACAAGUAAUAGUCAAUUUUUUUCAGAAACACAUACAUCCGAGUCAAUUUUUUUCAGAAAGACAUACAUUUGUUUCAUCAAAGGUGCUGGGUCUGCGUGGAAUGAGUUGGUAAUCACAUUCUGAAGAAUUAAAUUAUUUUCAUCCCACCAAGAUCAAAUAUUGGAGAAUCCAUACUUUAAGACAUCCUUAAAACAUUUCUGGAGGUAAUUAUUCAUAGCUUCUUGCAGAGCAGCCUUCACAUAAGGAGACUCUUGGGCAAUUCCAGGUAGAGGACCAGACAUGAAAGAACAGAUUGGUGCAACCCGAUGAUUAUUUGUUUGUGAAGGUGGAAUACUGACUAAAGCCAACGAAGAUGGAACGACAGGAACUCCUUGAUUGACCUCUGAAAUGUUAGCUUUCACAGUCCCUGAAUUUACUUCAUCUUCAGCAUUAAAAUUGUCCAUGAUAUGCACCAAAGUACCUUCAUUGAUGGCGCCUGGAUAUUUGCAAAGAAGGUCAUGAGAAUCAUUAAUACCAUCUAUUCCUUGAAGUGCAUCGAUUCGCUCGUCAUUCUCGUCAGUCUGAUCUUGCAAAAAGUUUAGAUUCAUGGAGAAAUUUAGUUCUUCAGGGAUGCUCAAAAAACCUACAAGAAAUAGAGCAUGGUUCCAAAAAAAAAGGGGGGGGGGAAAGUGCAGCAAACAACAACAGGGCACAUACCUGCAUUUCGUGUCCUGGGCGACAUGUCUAAAAAUCCACCGUCUGAUGAUGUGUUCGGGAGGCUGAGGUUAAUGUGAGAAGCUCCAGCUUCACCUUUUGAAAGACUCGGAAUAGCUUGAAGUAGCCUCAGUUCUAUUGGUCGUUUGAUUCUGUAAAUUUGAGAAAGAGGAGCCUGAAAUUGAAGAUUGUGACAGAAAAUCAGAUACAAAUAGUACAUAAAAUUAAAAAAAAAAAAAAAGAGGGAGAACUAUACCUGAUCUCCAGAACUUUCAUAUUCUGGAGUCAUAGUCUUUCUUGGUGCUUGUGAUGCUCGAUCUCUAGGACUACUGUGAUCUGGAAUCAAAAUUGCUUCUGGCACCUUAUCAGCAGGCUUAGAGGUGGCAGCAACCUUUGCUGAGGGAACUAUUAUUUUGAUUCUCUUAAUACCUCUUUCAUUUUGCUGGUUUAGAUCUCCCUUUCGAGAAGCCUCUUCAGGAGCAGCAUUUGGAGGGUUUAACCCUCUAGCUAAAACCCUGUUCGGAGUCGAGCCAAGAACAAAGUCACGACUCUCACUAGAAAAUAAGACUUGCACCUGGACCUUGGUCAAGAGUGGUAACACUUUGCUAUUCCACAAAGCCUGGUAUUCAACAUCAAUGUUUUGAUGUAUAUCCCUCACAUACUUUGGAAUAUGAAAUACAGACCCACUUUUUAUCCGAGUUAAGGACAACCAAACCCGAUACAUGUCGUCCUACACUGGGGGCAAUAUUCAACUUUCUUGGUGAACCGGGAAGUUUCUAUCUAAAGCCAAACUGUCUCGCAAACCUGUGCGGAUUAUAUGCCUCAAGAAUGAGACGAUGAGGGUAAUGGAUUCCAGCAAAAGUUAUCGAUGUUCAUCGCUCCACGGAUAAAUUCCCGACAAUCAACGACAUUUUUCUCCCAAGAUUGAAAAGCAUUCAGAGUUCCAGCAUAUCUUCAAAUUAUAGGGCGAGAAUAACUCUUGUCUACAUGAGCAUAAACACCUCGGACAAAAUAAGUUGCUGCCCAAGCAUAAAAAAAUGUCCAGGAAAUAGAUGUGAAAUUGAACCAAGGUCUGGAUUUGCCUGAUAGUUAGAUGUUCGUGUAAGUCCACUAUAAAUGCUCGCUAAUAUGGGUGGAACCAGACUAUAAGUGUAUCCGCCUGCCAUCCUAGAAGAUGCUUUAAAAGUCCCGACUCUUAUACUUUCGUCCCUAGAUGGAAGAACGAAGCGACAAAGCCAUAGGGAGAGAUAGGCUGCUAUCUCUAAUUCCUCUUCUUAUUCCAUAGACAGAGAUACUGGAAAAUUGCCUCAAUGCCGUCGAUCCCUAUGAGUAAUGUCUCUCGGCUUCUCUGCCACCACGGGCCUCCGUAUUUCCUUAUAUGUUCUUUGAUGGCGCCUUUUGAAUGGAUUUAAAUUCAUAGCACUCUUAUAAUUUUUAUGUUGUCGAGGGUUCGGGACACAACCAUUAUCAUGAAACCAAAAAUUAACCCACUGUUCGUGAGUAACUUGUCAGAUUCAUUCCCAUGGGCAAUCAAUGCAAAAAUAUUAAAGAGAUACAAACAAGACUUGGGAAGAUGAUCUGUCAACUCUGAAAGGCUUGGUACUACUUCCUCAUAAUAAUGACCCAUGAUCGAAAGUCCGCUUAUCUCACGGAUGUCCCAAAGAGAAAUGCCAAUUUCACCGUUGGCAGUUACAAAGGUGUUCGUUUUUGGACACCAAACCUCACAAAGAAUUCCAUAAAUGGAGUUUGGGCGAUGGUAAUCUUUUGCAGCAAAGCCAACUGCAAAAGCUAACUCUCGGAGAUUCCUCUUAAGCAGAAGUUUCUGGACCCACAAAGACCACUCCCAAAAUUUUGGAAGAAAAGAAAUCUCUCCUCGACUGACCAGUGCGCUUCCCCAUCGUAUUUCUCUAUUAUCAAUUCUCUCACAAAUCAUAGCCUUGGGAUGUACUCCAUGCUCUGGGAAUGAUGAGAGGGAAGACACAAAAAGGGAAGAUGACUGAUAGAGCGAUUGGACUUGCCAAUAUCCAAACUCUCAUGACAAUCACUAAUGGUGGACAUAUGCAACUCCGACAAUUGCUCCAGAAGGUCGGGAGAAGGAUCUGUCGUUGGCUUGUGGACGCUAACUUUAAGUUCACCUCGUACGCCUGUCUGGGCAUGGUACUUCACAUCAGUAUCUUUGAAAUGCAGAUAACUUUUGCCUUGAUUUUUAAACUCAACAAUUUCGUGCAUGUCAGGACAUACUUUAUCAUCAGAACUUGUUCCAGCCAUGCCUGCAAAAAAAAAAAAAAAAAGUCAGCCAAAAAAAAAAUGGGGGCAGUAAAUCUCUCAAAUUGGUUUAUUGUUUAAAAUCUCGAGUCUCCCAAAUAUGUAAGCAGCCUCUAUAAAAAAAUGUCUUAGACGAUUGAAGGAGCCAGUCCUUAGUCCUCAACACAAAAUGUCUUGGACAGUUGAAGGAACUAGUCCUUGAUCUUCAACACGAAGUGCCUUGGACGAUGGAAGGAACAGGUCCUUAGUUUUCAACACAAAGUGUCUUGGACAGUUGAAGGAGCCAGUCCUUGGUCUUCAACACAAAGUGCCUUGGACAGUCGAAGGAGUCAAUCCUUGGUCCUCAACACAAAGUGUCUUGGACAGUUGAAGGAGCCAAUCCUUGGUCCUUAACACGAAGUGCCUUGGAUGAUGGAAGGAACAGGUCAUUGGUCUUCAACACAAAGUGUUUUGGACAGUUGAAGGAGCCAGUCCUUAGUCCUUAACACAAAGUGCCUUGGGCGGUCGAAGGAGUCAGUCCUUGGUCCUCAACACAAAGUGACUUGGACGAUGGAAGGAACAGGUCCUUGGUCCUCAACACAAAAUGCCUUGGACGGUUGAAGGAGCAGGUCCUCGGCCCUUAACACAAAGUACAUUGGACGAUCGAAGGAACAAAUCAUUGGUCCCCAACAAAAACUGCAUUGGAUGGUGAAAAGUGGCAAUUCUUAAUCCUCAAUGUGUAUGAAGGUUUGCAAUUUUAAAUCUGUUCAUAAGCAUAUAUUUCCAGAACUCAUAAAAUAAUUGCAGCAAAAAAAAAUAAAAAAAAAUAAAUCUAACCUCUUCAUGAAGAAAAUUUUGAACCUCAAAAUCCUUAAUUUGCUCCAAAAAGUUGAAUCCCUGAAAAAAAAAACGAUGAAGAAUAUUAGUUUCAAUUUUGUUAAAAAUAACCACACCAAAAUAAUCAACAAAUAAAAAAUGGGGGUCAAAAUAAAGGGGCAUUUAAAAAAAAAAGAAAAAGAAAAAGAAAAAGAAAACAAAAUAAAGGGGUCGAAAUAAAAAAAAAAAGAGGGAAAGAUAAAUUAAAAAAAAAAAAUUUAGGGAUUUGGUUUCUGCCGAUUGGAGCAAACCAAACAUGUUUGUUUGGUUUUGUGAAAACCUAGAAAUAUAAAAACAAAAAAAAAUCAAGAAAACUAAUUAAUAAAGAAAAAAAACGGAAGUCAAUUUAUUGGCAGAAAAUCAAAAGUUUGCAGAAACCAAAUUGUGGGUUUCUGGAACAUUUUAAAAACCAAACAAAAUGGUUUUCCGCCGCUGCCAUUAAUUAAAAAAAAAAUAAGUUUCUACCAAAAAAAGGCAUAAACCGGCAAAACCAAUUCAAGAAUUGGUUUCAAUUCCAAUUCUUAGAAUUGGUUUCGAAACCAAAGAAUUAAAUAUUAAAGAAAUAAUAAAUAAUAAAUAAUAAAUAAGUUUCUGCCAAAAAGGGCAGAAACUGGAACUAACGGCAGAAACCAAUUCUUGGAAUUGGUUUCGAAAACCAAGAAUUAAAUAUUAAAAAAAAAAAGAAAAGAGAGAAGGAAACGAAAAAGGAAAAAAAAAAAAAAAAAAAAAAAAAAAAAAUAAAAAAAAAAAAAAAAAAAAAAGAAAAAAUAAUAAAAUAAAAUACAAAAUUUGCUUACCUCUGUUUGUAAGGUUUAACAGAUUUGUUUUCACAUCUGCUAAUUUCUUCAUAUAAAUAGGAGGGUAACAGACUUCACUUAAACCCAAUUUACCAUGAAACGUAAAAAGCCUGUUCAAAUCAAAUUUUUUAUGGGUCUAUUAAAUAAAUAAAUAAUCAAAAUUCAACAAAUUAAAAAAAAAUCUUAUUCUCAAAUUUGAAGGAUAAGAAUUUUAUCAAAUUCACAUUUUAUUCUCAAAUAUUUAAAUGUUUGAGAUCAAAUCAAAUAAAAAAAAAUCAAAAUCGAACAAUUCAAAAAAAAUAAAAAAAAAUCAAGAUUUAUUAAUUUAUUUAUUUCAUAAUAAAUAAAUAAAUCUUGAGGGGGCAUUUGUAGACAUAAAAAUAAAAUAAAAUGAAAUGGAUUGGAUUGGAUCGAUUUAAAUCAUUAGCCCAAUUAAAUUAAAAUCUACUAAGGUCCAUAAAUCCAAAGGCCUAUAUCAUAUUUUAAAUAAAUAAACAAACAAAUAAAUAAACAAAUAAAUAAAAUCAUAAUUACUCAAUUAUCUCUUUUAAUUAGAUGUAAUUGAGUAAUUACCAAAAUUAGCGCGAAUUCUCGCCUAUAAAUAGGACCAAUGGUCCAUAAGAAAGAGGGGACACAGAAAGCAAGCAAGAAAGAAAGCAGAGAACGCCACGAAGUGUUGAAGAAAUCACAAGGCUAAAAGAAGGGAAGAAAUUCUAUCAAACCUUAGCUCGAUGAACCCCAAGAAGAUUAAAAUCUUCUUCGAAUCAAACAGGUUCACGCCAAGUUUAAGGAGAUCAAAGUCUUCUUCAAAUCAAAUCAAAUUCAAGUCCAAGUCCAAACCUCAAGAUUCGAGUUCCAAACAAGUCAAAUCUCGACAAAUCAAAUUUUCCACAAAAUUAUUGAAGACCAGGAUUCAAGCCACGUGGCCCCUCAUCUUCAAAUAUUCAGAUCAUUAAUCAGAGGAUUUUGUAAUUUUGCAAUUACAAGAAGGUCAACAUCACUUGUAUUUAUCAAAAUACAAUUUGUAACGAUUUCUGUAUUUUAAUACACGAAAUUUCGUCGUACAGUCACACUCCACAUCCCCAGUACAAACCACCAUGUACCCCUAGGCAUCUAUACUCCACCUUAUCAAAAGACAUCCAACUCACUACUAAUGCAUCUCAAACUCACUAUGGCAAAUCAACAUCUUUCAGUGACCACAAAAGUUACUCCAAUCACCAAAGCUCAAAAAAUAGACAAAGAAAACGGCGAAGGUGACACUCACAAAGAAAAAUCGAAGAAAGAGUCGGUUACUAUGCAACACUCAUAAAGAAGGCUCACAAAGAGGAAGAAUAUAACCCUAACAUAGUUGCCUCACAUAAUCUCACAAACCACACAGGUUCACAAAGAUAAAGGAGAGAAACAGCUGCCCAACUUUUUUCUCACUACUACAUUCACACACCACUCACAGAGCAAAUAGAGUACACCACAAAAUUUAACCCACUAUACAUGUAAACAUAUUACACAAUGUAAUAAGUCACUCUAAUUCAUGCAAUUACACACAUCAAACAUAUUAAAAAUGUAACAUACCAACGUUGCAACAGAAUUAAGUGACCAUAUACAUGCAGAAAGAAUUACAUACAGAUGCAAUACAAGAACCAUGUUUAUUCUCUCAAUGAACCUCACUAGGAUCACUACUCGACCCUAAAGUCACAUUCACUUCUUCUCUAUCCUCAUUUUUCAUUUUAUUAUCAUCCUAGGACAAUCUCUUUCAACUAUACCCAAAUUUUACUAUAGUUAAAACAUAUUUUAUUUUUCGCACUUGCCUUAGACCUAUACAUGCCAACAAUACUAAAUAUUGACUACAAGCAAAGUACUGACACAUAAUUCACACAGAACAAUCAAGUAAAUUUUCUUAAAGUCACAUGCAAUUCUAUCGGUGUAGAAAAAAUUGAUGAUAAAUUCACAUGGAAUUUAAGUCAAUUAAUUAACAUGUAAUUCCUAGGUCUAGCAACAAGUAAUGGUUACUCCAAACCUAACGUCGCCCCACACGAUGACUUCUAACGCGAAAAAUAAAUAAUUAACCUACACAUUUAUUUUAACUGCAAUAAUAAAAAGCAAAGAAUACGAUACCGAGCGGAUCACGUCUGAAGGUCCGUAAAUAUCGAGACAUGCAAAUUUAUCACUUUAGGACCACCACUAUUCGUCCUAAAGUCUCUGAAAACUGCAGCAACCAAAAAACCACGGUCGAGUCCUGAACGCCUGAAGAACAACCCUGUCCAGAUUCUACUGCGUACCUUAAAACAGAAAACUUUCAACACAAAAAAUGUCAGAAAUAAUAUGAGGAACAAAUUGCCUGAAGGGACCUCCUUGAAAUUCACUCUCACGUGCCCUCACGCGCCCUCACGCGCCGGUUCUUCCCUCUACGCAUGGGCCACACGCGCCUCCGUCGACAGACACGCACCGCCCUGCAGGGUUCACCUCCUCCUGCACGUCACGCCAAUGGUCUCCGUUUCCCCAAACUCCUUUUGGAUUGGCCAGAAAAUGCGAAAAACGGAGACUCAUUCUGACAAUUUUUCGACAGCUUCUUCGAUCUGAUUUUUGCUACGAUUUCUGGACGUUUUGGUAUGUUUCACGAGCCAAAACCACCACCUUGAAGCUCUAAUACCAAUUGUUGCAGAAGCUCUCUUGAAAGAUCUUCAAAUCAGUGAUUUUCGAGCUCAAUCCAACGCACAUUUCUCAACCAACAACCAGUCCAAUCGGUUCCAAACUAUAACCAGUUGAUUCACCUUGAUUGCUAUUCACUCUUACCCACGUAGGACAAGAAAUGGUGAUGAUUUGUGGCCACAAAGGCUAGGAGAAGACAUCACAAAGGUAUACUAUGAAGGAACCAACAAUUGCACACGUUAUACAAGUGUUCUGGACACUUCUGGAGACCUUUUUUCUCACACAAAGGGGGACAGCUGGAAUUCUCUUUUUUCUUCUCUCAAAAUCACACAAUCAUCAUAAGAGAGUGGCUAGGGUUAUAGUCAUAUAUAUACUCUAGGGUUAGGCUUUAAGUUGAACCAUUAAAGGGGUAAACGGGCCAAAAUUCAAGCCAUCCAUAAGAGAAUACAAUUAGGCCGAGUGUAUCUCAUGGACUUGAUUGUUGGACUUAUUUCAUUCAUCGGCCUAUGCCUAUGAAAUAAUAUUAACCUACGUUAACAUCAUAGCUCAGAAUUUAUUGGGUAUCAAAAAACCUAACAUACUUGAUUUAAAGUUUCAUUUUCAAUUACACAUUUCAUGAGAUCCAUAACUUUUAUCAACUAAUCAAUCAUUCGCCUUAUCAACUUUUAUCAAGGUCCAUUAAGAAUUAUAUUUUAAAAAAAAUCAAAUAGGAGCUUAAUAAAAAUUAUAAGUUUCAAUAUUCUAUUACUUGAGUUGUGAGAAUUAGCAGAGUUUCCAAACUUUUUAAAAAAUGUGAAGCCAGGUCUUAAAUCUUUUUAUCUUAGCACAUACAUUUAAAAUAUUUUAAUAAAUGGGUGCUGAAUUUGAAUGAUUCUAAUUUUUGGCACAAUAUUGGAGACCUAAACCCUUGCAUUUAAAUGCUGUCUUUGACACUUUGACAAGGAGAGGAAAGAUCCUUUUGACAUGAUUUUUGAGAAGUUAAAAGGAGCUUUUAUGAUUCAAAGUUGUUUGUAGACCCGUUUAAUUAAUUUUAUAAAAUAUUUCUUUUAUCGUGAAGAGUUUUUAAGAUAAGCUCAUUCAACAUGGCUUCUUCUAAAAGUUCUUUAGAGAGAGAAAAUUCUUUUAAAAAUUAAUUUGCAAAAACCAACUAAAAUAGCCUUCUUAUGAAGUUCUCUUACAAGAAAUAAAAGUCCUGCCAAAUUGUCGGAAGACUAAUUGAAGAUUCUAAAUGUGAACUCAAAAACAAAAUUCUCUCAGCGUAUCAGACUUUUGGCCUAUUUAGUUCUCUAGAUAGAUAUUAGGUCUUGUUCUAUAGUACAAGGUUUUAAUUUAGGGAAAAUUCCCUUAAAACCUACAAUUAAAUAUUAAUUAUCAUAAAUAAGACGGAUUAGUUUAAAAUUCACAUAUCUGGUCAUAAUAAAAUUUUAAUAAUUAUAACUAAUAAAAAUUAAAUCAAGCAUAGUGUACAUAUUCACCCGAAUUAAUUUCGCAGGGGCUCAAUAUAGCAGGUGGACCACACAUAUAAAAAAAAAAAAAAACUGCUAUAGGCCCCACUGUGUGUAUCAUGAUAGGGACCCACCCGUCUCAUAGAACAAGGAAUUGAGUUCUAAAAAAUAGGAAUGAAAGUGAGAAUGUAAAUUCCCAAAAAAGUACAAAAAUGAAUACAGAAAGGAUGAAUACUAAAGUGAGAUUAGCAUAUGAACGGUGAUUCUUCGAUUUUAGGCCAUUUCCAACGCUGCACUAAAUUUUGCACUAAAUCUUGCACCAAACCAAAAUUCUUCUCCAACCAUUACACUAAAAUUUACAUCAAAUGAACAGUACUUUAUUAUUUUAUUCAUUCUUUCUAUUUUUGACAAUGUAUUUAUUUAAAAAAAAUAUUUAUUUUAUAACUAUAUAAAUUACUAAAUCAUAACUUCGUUAAAUUAACAAGUAUAUUGAUUACUAAAUUAUUCACGUGUCUUAUAUAUUAUGUUAAAUUGACAAAAAUAAUUGAUUAUAUUAUUAAUUUAUGAUAAACAAUUACGUUAAAUUUACAAAAAUAAUAAAUUUACAUUAAAUUAACAAUUACGUUAAUUAUUAUUGAUUAUAUUAUUAAAAAUAAUAAACUUUAAUAAUAUAAUUAAUAGUGUAAUUAUUAUUAUCAUCAUUAUUAUUAUAGAACGAAAAUGACACAAAUAUCUUUAAUUAUUAUCUUUGAAAAAAGAAAAAUAAGAACUGGACAUUACACUAUUUCAUUACACCAUUUUUUUUUUUUGCACCAAAUGGACAUUUGAUGUAAUGUCCAUUUGGUGCAACACUAUUCAUGUUGCACCAUUUUGCACCAAAAUUUGGUAGUGGUGCAACGGUUGGAGAAAGUUUGCACCAAAUUUUGGUGCAAUGGUGCAUCCAUUAGAGAUGUCUUUAAGGCCCUGAUUGCACCCAUUUGUUUUAAUGUUUAUCAAUUUUUAUUAAUGGGUGGGUUUUUGAUCAAAUGUUGUUUUGAGAUGGCUGUUGGUUGUUUCGUUGUUGCUAGCAGUGUAGGCGUCGAUGAAUCUGUUGCUGGUGGUCAUGGUGAGGUGGUGAGCAUUUGGUUAUUGAUGGUGGUGUUAGAGGAGUGGUGGUAACAGCAGCAAUGGGAUGUGACCAAUGCUAUCUUUAAUGUGACUUGUCUAUGACUAGAUCUUCGACUAUAUGUGAUUUGGUUACAUGCAAUCACAAAUUACGGGUUUGUUUGAUUUAGGUGAUAGAAUAGUUUGAUUUAGAUUUAAAAUUGUAUUGAUUUGUAACAAAUAAUUAAAUGAAAAAUAUGUUAAAAAUUAUUCAAAUUGGACCUCGCAUGUUAAGUAGUCGAUUAUUCAGGUCACUUCACUAUAGGGGUGACAGACGUUCGAGCUGCUCAUCGUGUCAGUCAUGGACUCGGCUAGUCCCAUGAACGGUUCAACCUCAUUUUGAAACAAGUCAUGGAUCGAGCUGAACUCACUUUUUUAUAUUAGCUCGGCUCAUGAAAUCACUAGCCGACUGAUGUAGUCUUAGAUGGCUCGAUACGAUUCCAUUUCAUGAUUGUUUUCUAUCCCAUAUCACACAUAACUAUGGCUUGAGCCCCCGCAAUAAUUUGGCUGAUAAGGUUGUUGAGUCUUCCUUACCUACUAAUUUUUCCCGUUUAUCGUAAAAGAUAAAAAAUGUCUCGUGGAUUUUUUACUACCUUCUCAAGCUUUUGACAAUUGAUUCAUGCGAAUCAAUGAAUCAAGUGGUCUUCCCAAAAGAAGAGAAAUUUAUCUAUUACCUCCCUUAUUUCAUGGAAAAUUUGCAAUUAACUCCAGAGUCAAUAAUUAAUUUCACUUUCCUCUUCACUAUUAGGAUUCCAUCAAUGAUCAGUCAAUUUAUGUUAAAAGAUUAAAUUGCCCAACAUCUCAUUCAUUCACAAUGUAUAAUAAAUUGUAAUUUUUAUAUAUUUUGUAUUUCUAUGAAGUAUGAUUGCAGAGUAUAUUUCUUAAUUUAUGCCUCGUGGCUCUUUUUCAACUGAUAGCAAAACUCAACCGCUUAAAUUUUUUUACCAAAGUGGAAUCAGACCAACAUGUUUAGUUAUAGACUAAAAAAGCCAAAAUGAUCUAAUCAGUACGAUAUAAUCAACAAUACAUAAUAAAUUAUAGUUGGAGAAAUGAUUUAAUGAGUAGUGACUAAACACAUAUAUCAAUUUAUUGAUGAACAAAUUUAUGGUUGGUACCAACUACCAAGGUUUGAAUUAAAUUUAUCAUCAAUAAAUUUAUACUUAUAACAACAUAUUUGGUACUUUAAAUUAAAUAAAACUGAUUAAUUACCUUUUAUCAUUGGACUCAAUUUUUGGCCAACCACCAAACACAAUCUCAUAAAAUAAGGGAAGGUUUGCGGUUUUGCUCCCUAAACAUUCACAAAUAAAAGCACAUGGAUCCUCAAUCAAUUUUCAUUGAUCUUUACGUCCCCAACCUUAUGCCCUUGUUUGAGCCCCAUUAUUUUCAUCAAAAUACAUUUUUCAACAGUGAUUUGACCCUACUUCAAUGACAAGUUCUUCAAUAAAAUAAUAUUACAUGCAAAUCCAAAAUUUUUCUUUAUUUUUUAACAACACAUUUUCCAUCAAUACACCGUUCGAAAAUGUAUUUUUUUUUUUUUUGUCAAGAAUAGGACUCAAACAAGGGCAACAUGUGGGUCUCUACUAGUGAAAACCAUCAUUUCAUAAUUCAAAUAUCCAUUUACUUUGCAUGUAAUGUGUAUUAGAUGGUUUUUUCCCCAUCCAUCUCUAUGCUUAGAUUUACAUGAUCUCCGGCAAAGACAAGUAUGAUGCACUAAUCUCGUGACAAAAAUACGCUUAAUAACCUUUCUUCGCUUUUCUAUCGAGUGAAGCACCGAGCCUACGCUUCUCCUUAGGAAUGCACUGGGAAAGUAAAUGUUCGAAGGAAAAAUCGAUAGUUUGGAUCCAAUACAAAUGGGCUACUAUAGGGGUAGGGAGAAUGGCUUCUUCUGCGUUACAAUCUGAAUAAGAAAUCUUAGAUUUCACCCUACUCGUCAAUGGUAAAAUAGAAUUCGAGAAAACUACUAGCUAGUAGAUUAGAAAUAUCUUUAUGGAAUGGCUCUACUCGUGCUUGAGCUAUUUGAUCAACCAAUCCAAUCUCCUAUUUGAGGACAUCUAUGUUGAAAGUUUGAAAAACUAGAAAAAAUAAUCAGGAAUUUACGCGAUUUAUGUAUAAAAAGUUCAAGGACCACAUUGCACAAUUUCUAAUAGAUAAAAGUUGUAUUAAUCCAAAGAAAUAUGCUAAUCUUUAAAUAGCCUCUUAUCUGUCUCCAAUUGUACUCUAUAGUGUCACUCUGUUUUCCGUUGGACUCGUUAAACCCAACAAAAUCAAGAAAAAGAAAAUCAAAGAGAAAUGUCUGCUGAAGAAGUAUUCAUUGGUUCCAUCGAUCAAGGAACAACCAGCACAAGAUUCAUCAUCUACGACCUCUCUGCUUCUCCCAUUGGAUCCCACCAAGUUGAGUUCACCCAGUUCUACCUACAAUCAGGGUAUAUAUAUAUAUAUAUAUAGAUAUAAAUAUUCAAUUUUUUUGGUUUUAUUUUUUACUAUGCGUCAAUCUCGGAUAUCCCGCCUGUGUUAUACAAGACAAGAUUUACAAAAGAGUUCAGUGUUAAAAUUUUGCGCCUGUCACAUAUUUCUUUAAAAAAUGAAUUCGAUCUAAGAGUUAGGGGUGUGAAGAUUAGGCUUAUAUGAACGCAUGGGACCUUUAGACGGGAAGGUUGUCAUAUGCUUUGACUACUUGGCAGAUGGGUGGAGCAUGAUCCAAUGGAGAUUCUUGAGAGUGUGAGAGUGUGCGUAUCAAAGGCUGUUGAUAAAGCCACUGCUGCUGGACACAACGUUGACAAUGGAUUAAAAGCUAUUGGUUUGACCAAUCAGAGAGAGACAACUGUUGUUUUGAGCAAAUCUACUGGCCUCCCUCUCUACAAUGCCAUUGUUUGGAUGGAUGUCUGUACUAGUUCAAUUUGCAGGUGAAUUCAUCUUCAUAUUAUAUUCUGAUUUUCAUUUGAGAAUACCGCAUAAUUUUUUUUUUUAUAUGGUUUAUGAUCAAUAUGUUGGAAAAAAUUGAGUGAGCGGCUCACUUUUGUUACAAUUUUCGAUGGGACCCAUUGGUCCAAUGUGGAAUAUCAAAGUUGAUAUGUGUUUUCCUCCGCGAGAACAUCGAUUUCAUGUAUUUAUUUGCCAAGAAUGAAGCUCUGGUGAACGAGAAAUUGGAGCUCAAAGUUGGUCAUUGGAAGUUGGUUUUGUGGGAAAAAAUGCAUUUAUCCCGCGUAGGAAAAUCAAGGAAACUUAAACCACUUUAUAUAUGGCUAUGCUUUGAAGAUGUGUAAUCAUGUGUAGCAUAGAGGCUCUCUCCACGUGCUCGUGCAAAGGGGUGCAAAUUACGAACCGAAAUGGCCUUCAGACCUUAAACUUGGGUGCAGAUGCGACCUGCGCACACGAAUGUCGGACCGAACAAGGCAAAAAUGGCCCCAUCAGAGAGCCCAUGUUUUGCCAAUUUUUUUUUUGGCUUUCUCCAAUAACUUUUGAGUUUCUAAACUGCAGAAACUCUCAAUGUUUAUUGCUAGAACUGAAAGGCUGAAACUCCAGUGACUCCAAUAGACAGGACUCAGUCUAUAUAAGGGAGCUCACUCCAACAGUUCAAUACACGAACGAAAUUUUCUCUUUGCAUACGAAAAUAUUAUUCCCAAUUUUUCACGCAGUGUCGUUUUUCCCAGUUUCAGUUUCCAUACAGUGUAGUUUCUGUUCCCUUCCAGUUCGCCGGAGUAGGACCACGGUGCUCGGAUUCUGCUUAUUACCGUUGUAUCAUGGGAAACAGCUGCUCGAACUGAACCUCCAGCACCUACAGUGAGGGGGUUAAACUGUCUUAAGGAAACUGUGCACGCAUAGGCCUUGGUUUGAAAUCUGCUGCAGUUUGUGUUUUCUUUCUGCAGAUUAUUUUUGCAUUACUAUUUAAUUCAUGCAGUUUGUAGUUCCAUAAUGUGUAGCUUCCAGAUUCAUCGUUUACAUUUUUAGCCUGCAGUUAACUUAUAUUUCUGAUUUUAUGUUGCUAAACAUUUUUUUUAGCCGUUGGAAAAUUCUGAAACGGAAAUUUUUUUGAUAAAUUGAAACCGUUUGCCUUGUGGUUAUUAAUUUCAAUAGUCGGCUAUUGCAUUUGAAUAAAACUUAUACAAUUGGUUUCAUCCACUAGCGACUUGUUUUCCUACAAGCUUAAGACAGUUUCUGAAUUCGGAAAACAAGAGUUGGUUUUUGGUUUAACUGAAUUUUAGUUACUUGGAACUAAUAUUUGGUUUUAAAAAACAAAAGUCAUUUUUUUUUGUUUCAUUGAAUUGUAGUUUCUUGGAACUAAUAAUUGGUUUGUUUUCAGAAAUGGCAACUGAAUCGAACAACAUGGAUGUGACCCAAAAUGUUCCCUCUGGAAAUCAGGCUGUGGGUUCUAAUGUGGCUCAAGGGCCAAGCUCCGUUGUGGCUCAGACUGUGGUUAGAAUGCCAAGUCAUGUUGUGAGCUAAACUGGCCAAAUUGUAACUGUUCCGGUCAAUCAUGGAGAAAAAUCGGAGAAAUUCAAUGGCUUGAAUUUCAAAAGGUGGCAGUAGAAAAUGCUUUUUUACUUGACCACUUUGAAUCUUGCGAGAUUUUUGACUAAAACUGCUCUAAAGCUUAAUGAGGGCGAGGGAGAUGUGCAAGCAUUGAGUGCACUUGAUGCUUGGAAGCAUUCGGACUUUCUGUGCCGAAAUUAUAUCAUGAUCAGCCUAGCAGAUGCGCUGUACAAUGUGUAUAGCACCAUGAAAACUGCUAAGGAAUUGUGAGAGUCCUUGGACCGGAAAUACAAAACUAAGGAUGCCGGGACUAAAAAGUUUAUAGUCGGCAAAUUCCUAGAUUAUAAGAUGGUGGACUCCAAAACUGUUAUCAGUCAAGUGUAAGAACUCCAAGUGACCCUUCACGAAAUUCAUGCCGAAUGAAUGAUGUUGAGUGAAACUUUUCAGGUGGCUGCAAUUAUAGGAAAAUUGCCCCCCACAUGGAAAGAUUUCAAGAACUAUUUGAAACACAAAUGAAAAGAAAUGAACGUCGAAGAACUCGUUGUUAGACUUCAAAUCUAAAAGAAGUGGUUCAAUCCUGGUGUGGCAAAACCCAUGUUGUGAAACUUGGUCAAAGUAGUAAGAAUUACAAAAACAAGUCUGGGCCAUCCGGUGGCAAAAGAACCAAGGAAGGACCGAAAGGUGGAAUUGUCAAGAAGAAAUUCCAAGGGAAAUGCUUCAAUUGUGACAAAGUGGGUCACAAGUAUUCGGAGUGCAGAUUACCGAAGAAGAAGAAAGAAGUGAACGUGGUUGACUAUAUGGCACAAGAUGUGUCGGAGCUGAAUCUCGCAGCAGUCAUUUCUGAAGUAAACAUGGUGGGUUCAAACCCUAAAGAGUGGUGGAUUGACACCGGUGCUACAAGGCAUGUGUGCUCUGAUAAAGAGAUGUUUGAUACGUUCGAAGCUGUUGAGAACGGGGAGAAGUUGUUCAUGGGAAAUUCAGCAACUUCUGAAAUCAAGGGUCAAGAAAAAGUGGUUCUGAAGAUGACCUCGGGAAAGGAGCUCACUCUCAACAACGUGCUUUAUGUGCCGAAAAUUCGCAAGAAUUUAGUGUCCGGGUCGCUUUUGAAUAAGCAUGAUUUUCGCAUUGUUUUUGAGUCAUACAAAGUCAUUCUGUCAAAAAUGAAAUGUUUGUCGGAAAAGAUUAUGUUUUCGAUGGUAUAUUUAAACUCAAUGUAAUGGUUGUGAAACCAAAAAUGAAUAAAGCAAGUUCUUCUGUUUAUUUGCUUGAGUCUUUUAAUUUGUGGCAUGGUAGACUAGGACACGUUAACUAUGAUACUUUACGAAGACUAGUUAACUCUAACUGCAUACCUAAGUUCAAUAAUGAUUCCAAACAUAAGUGUGAAACUUGUGUUGAAACAAAAUUGACAAGAUCAUCGUUUAAAUCAAUUGAACGGAACACAGAACCACUAGAUUUAGUUCACAGUAACGUGUGUGAUCUAAAACUUGUACAAACAAGAGGUGGCAACAAAUACUUUAUUACUUUUGUCGACGAUAGCACAAAAUACUACUAUGUAUAUCUGUUUAAAAGCAAGGAUGAAGCUAUAGAGAAAUUUAUUCUCUAUAAGAAUGAAGUUGAGAAUCAACUUAAUAAGAAAAUUAAGGUGUUGCGAAGUGAUCGAGGUGGUGAGUAUGAAGCACCAUUUGCUGAAUUCUGUGCACAACACGGAAUCAUACAUGAAACCACCGCCCCUUAUUCACCGCAACAAAAUGGUGUUGUUGAACGAAAAAAUCGUACCUUAAAAGAGAUGAUGAAUGCAAUGCUCGUAAGUUCUGGGUUACCUCAAAACAUGUGGGGGGAAGCUGUGUUAUCAGCAAAUUACCUUUUAAAUAAGGUGCCCCGAAAGAAAUCGGAAAAGACCCUUUAUGAGUUAUGGAAAGGAAGAAUGUCUACCUAUAAACACUUGCGAGUGUGGGGGUGUCUUGCUGAAGUGGCUGUUCCACCACCAAAGAAGGUAAGGAUAGGCCCGAAAACUAUAGACUGUGUCUUCAUUGGCUAUGCACAUAAUAGCAGUGCGUAUAGCUUUCUUGUGUAUGAUUCAAAAAUUCUAGACAUACACAAAAACACGAUAAUGGAAUAAAGGAAUGCUACAUUCUUUGAAGAAGUAUUUCCAUACAGAUCCAAAAAGGAAACAAGCUCCUCUAAACGAACAUAUGAGACAAUGACUGGAAACAGUCAGAAUGAAGAAUUGGAAGAGGAGACUGAGAUUAGACGCAGCAAACGGGAAAGGACAGAAAAAUCUUAUGGUCCUGAUUUUCUGACCUAUAUGCUAGAAAGUGAACCUCAAAGUUAUCAAGAAGCAGUGAAUUCCUCGGAAGGACCUCAAUGGAAAGAAGUCAUUGAAAGUGAAAUAGAUUCCAUACUACAAAAUCAUACGUGGGAGCUAGUGGAUCUUCCUCCAGGAAGCAAACCACUAGGCUACAAAUGGAUUUUCAAAAGGAAAAUGAAAGCAGAUGGAACUAUCGAGAAGUAUAAGGCCAGAUUAGUAAUUAAAGGCUACAAACAAAGGGAAGGCCUUGAUUACUUUGAUACGUAUUUUUCAGUGACGAGAAUAACAUCUAUUAGGAUGAUACUUGCGAUUGCCGCUUUGCGAAAUCUUAAAGUACAUCAAAUGGAUGUUAAAACUGCCUUUCUAAAUGGAGAUUUAGAAGAAGAAAUUUACAUGGAACAAUCUAAGAGGUUUUUGUCACCAGAACAGGAAAAGAAAGUCUGUAAAUUGGUGAAGUCACUAUAUGGCUUGAAAUAAGUACCAAAACAAUGGCAUGAAAAAUUUGACAAUGUCAUGAUUGAGAGUGGUGAUAAGUGUAUUUUUGCACACUUAUUUAGAUCACAAACAUGACUUAAAUACAAGCAAAAUGAUUGAAUUGUGACUUAAUCUCAUUGAAUUCAUGCAAUGUAGGUAUUUCUAUGGAAAUAGUGGAAUUCAGGAGAAGAGAGCCGAAAAAGGACUAAAAUGAAUUAAACUGAAAGUUCGGGGACCAAGUUGCAAAUAAUUCAUAGAUGAGAUGGGAAAUGGAAUGAAGAUUCAAGAGUGUUAGAAGUCAAUCGGAUGAGGAAAGGAGUCACGAGGUGAAAUAGGGUCGAAGUAUUAUCAAGUAUCAACUUUCAGGCGAAAAAGCUAUGCUCGUGAUUUUUAGUAUCUACUUGAGAUCUAUUUUUCGCAUAGUAAAAAUCAGAAUUUGAGAAAGUCUAUUUCUAUCAAAAAUGUAUAUCUUUGAGUUUUCUUCUCAAUGCACUUUGAAUCACUUCAAUUGGAGAUCAGAUAAGAAAGUUAUGACCAAAAUUCUAAAAGCUGUCCGGCGGAAAGAAUGUAUGCCUAUGCGGUCGCAUAGUAUAAACUCUAUGCGGUCGCAUAGAAUCCUCCCGAGAACUUUUUCUCAAAUUUUGUUUACUCUAUGCGACAGCAUAGGUUAUGCCUAUGCGGUCGCAUAGGUAUAAUCUAGGGGCCGUUUUGCAGUUUCCUUAUACGAUUGAAACUUCCUUUGGUAACCUAAUUUCCACGCGAUUUAAAUACGAAAGAACGUCCAGAAGAAGGGGAGAACGUAAUUGGAGGCACAAAAACACAAUUUUGGAGGAUUUGGAGGGGAAGAAUAAGGCAAAAACAAGGCAAUCCACUUCAAGAUUCAAGAUUUCACUUCAAGAAUCAAUUGGGUGAUAUUCUUCCUUGGUUUUAGUUGUUGUUGUUUUUUAUUUCUCAUCAUGUUAGACUAGAUUUUCUUGUGCUAGGAGAUCGAUGUACCAUGUGAUUUGAGUUUUAUAUUUCUAGUUUUGCAAUUUGACAUUAAAACAUAUUUCUUUUGUUUUGAAUGAUUUAUAUGUAUUUAUUGUUUCCGCAAUUAAGGGCCCGUAAUUGUAUAAGUUUGGGUGAUUUAUUCUUGCAUUCGAGAGAAUUGGAAUAGAUUCGACAUAAUAUAAAUCAUCGUAGCGUCCGAUAGGGGAUAGAAAUAUACCGCUAUGCCCAACGUGAGUCUUUAAGUGUUCAUAAAACUACAUGCAUUUUUACAUAUGCAUUUGUCAUAGAAAUAUAGGCCAGUGGUAUGUAGAAAUAGGUUUGAUACAUCUCUAGAGAGAGUAUUGGAUAGAUUUAGGAACAUUGAUUCGUCAACAAUUGAAUUAUGUUGUCAUAUUGUGAAAUUAGAGUUUAAAGUGAUAAUUGCAUGGGAAAUCGUGAUCCUAGUGUGUUUAAUUUCUAUUGAUUACAACAAACGUGCGUUCUCAACAAUUGAUUUCAUUUUAGAGUUUUAAAUUAUUGUUUUGCUUAUUAAUUUCAUUACAAUCAUAAAAGUUGCAUAAGUAGGGUUUUCUUUCCAAUUUUAGAGUUUUAAUUAGGUCCACAUUUAUUUUGAGUAAUUUGGUUUCGGUUAAGGUCGAAUAAGUAAAAUUGAACUAACCAAUCUCUGUGGGACGAUACUUGGACUCAUUGAAUCCACUUUAUUACUUGUUAACGAACCGUACACUUGCGGUAAUUUAAAUCGAAAGAAAAUAUUUCGUGAACAAGUGGAUUUAAAAUCAAUGAAUGUGACAAAUGUGUUUACGUCAAAAACACUAAAGAUGGAUAUGUCAUCUUAUAUCUUUACGUUGACGACAUACUUAUUGUUGGUAGUGACAAUAAGAUGAUUGAAUCCACUAAAAAUAUGUUAAACUCGAGAUUUGACAUGAAAGAUAUGAGUUUAGCUGAUGUUAUACUUGGAGUGAAAAUCUCAAGAACAUCAAAUGGGCUUGUUCUAAGUCAGUCACAUUAUGUGAACAAAAUUUUAGGAAAAUUCUAUAAGGAUGAUACUGGCUUGGCUAGAACACCAAUAGAUACGAGUCAACAUUUGUCUAAAAACAGAGGAGAAAGUAUCUCUCAAGUAGAAUACUCGAGAGUUAUCGAAAGUCUAAUGUACUUAAUGAGUUGUACUAGACCAGACAUAGCCUACACAGUCAGUAAACUGAGUAGAUACACGAGUAAUCCAAGAACUGAUCACUGGAAAGGAAUUGUAAGAUUACUAAGGUACUUAAGAUAUACUCGUGACUAUGGACUACAUUAUACUAGAUAUCCAGCAGUCAUUGAAGAAUACAGUGAUACUAAUUGGAUAUCUAAUAUAAAAGACUCAAAAUUCACCAGUGGAUAUGUGUUCACCUUGGGUGGUGAUGCCAUAUGGAAAUCCUCUAAGCAGACGGUUAUAGCCAGAUCUAUGAUGGAAUCUGAGUUUAUAGCUCUAGAUAAAUUUGGUGAAGAGGCUGAAUGGUUGCGCAACUUCUUAGAGGAUAUUCCAAGAUGGUCAAAACAUGUGCCAGCAAUUUGCAUAUAUUGUGACAGUCAAUCGGCAAUAGGAAGGGCACAGAGUAACAUAUAUAAUGGUAAGUCUAGACGUAUACGUCGUAGACACAAUACCAUAAGACAACUACUCUCAACUGGAGUUAUCACUAUUGACUAUAUAAGGUCAAAAGAUAACAUUGCGGACCCGCUAACCAAAGGGUUAAAUUGAGAGUUAGUUAUGAAAUUAUCGAAAGGAAUGGGACUUAAGCGCUUGAAAGAAUAAGUCAUUACAAAGGAAAACCCAACCUAGUUGACUGGAGAUCCCAAGAUCUAGGUUCAAUGGGAAAACCUAACUGUAAAAACUUGAUAAAAUCACUGUGGGGAUAUUACCUCCUGUUCAUUCCUAUGAUGUAACAGUGAUGCCCGUAAGGUUGAAGGUUAAACAAUAGGCUUUUAAUGAUUCUUAUGCGUCGUAAAUCGAGCCAAGUAAUGCGGGUUACUUGUAAUAAGAAAUCACCAAUGUGAGAGAGAAGUGGGGCCGCUUCUAAGAGAAUUGUGUGGGGCUCAAUUCUUAAGAACUCUCACAGAACCAGGCAUAUGUUCAUAGCCAAAACGAACAUAACAAUAAGAACUAGAUUGUGUUAGGAAGAAUCCUGUGUGAGGUAUAUCAUCGUUUACACAAACGACAAAACAGUUCAAGGACAUCGCGUCUACUGGUCAGCCAGUAAAGUAAAUAUGCUUUCACAAGGAAAGGUUCAAAGGGUAACAUCUACCUAUCCUAUGCAGGAUUCAACCGCUGAACUUUAUCACCAAGUUUUGUGUCUCACGUUUCGUGUCUCUCUCAAUUUUCAUUCAUGUGAAGAAUUGUUGGAAAAAAUUGAGUGAGCGGCUUACUUUUGGCACAAUUUUCGAUGGGACCUAUUGAUCCAAUGUGGAAUAUCAAAGUUGAUAUGUGUUCUCCUCCACGAGAACAUCGAUUUCAUGUAUUUAUUUGCAAAAAAUGAAGCUCGGGUGAAUGAGAAAUUGGAGCACAAAGUUGGUCAUUGAAAGUUGGUUUUGUGGGAAAAAAUGCAUUUAUCCCACAUAGGAAAACCAAGGAAACUUAAACCACUUUAUAUAUGGCUAUACUUUGGAGAUGUGUAAUCAUGUGUAGCAUAGAGGCUCUCUCCACGUGAUCGCGCAGGGGGGUGCAAAUCACGAACCGAAAUGGCUUUCGGACCUUGAACUUGCGUGCGGGCGCGGGCGCGACCUGCGCACACGAAUGUCGAACCGAACAAGGCAAAAAUGGCCCCAUCGGAGAGCCCACGUUUUACCAAUUUUUUUUUUUUUUUGGCUUUCUCCAAUGACUUUUGAGUUUCUAAACUACAGAAACUCCCAAUUUUUAUUGCUAGAAUUGAAAAGCUGAAACUCUAGUGGUUAAUGUCGUAACUCCAGUGACUCCAAUGGACAGGACUCAGUUUAUAUAAGGGACGCUCACUCCAACAGUUCAAUACACGAACGAAAAUUUCUCUCUGCAUACGAAAAUAUUCUUCCCAGUUUUUCACGCAGUGUCGUUUUUCCCAGUUUCAGUUUCCAUACAGUUUAGUUUCUGUUCCCUUCCAGUUCGCCGAAGUAGGACCACAGUGCUCGGAUUCUGCUUAUUACCGUUGUAUCCUAGGAGACAGCCACUCGAACUGAACCUCCAGCACCUACGGUGAGGGGGCGAAACUGUCUUAAGGAAACUGUGCACGCACAGGCCUCGGUUUGAAAUCUGCUACAGUUUGUGUUUUCUUUCUGCAGAUUAUUUUCGCAUUACUAUUUAAUUCAUGCAGUUUGUAGUUUCAUAGUGUGCAGUUUCCAGAUUCAUCGUUUACAGUUUUAGCCUGCAGUUAACUUAUAUUUCUGAUUUUAUGUUGCUAAAUAUUUUUUUUAGCCGUUGGAAAAUUCUGAAACGGAAUUUUUUUUUGAUAAAUUGAGAUCGUUUGCCUUGUGGUUAUUAAUUUCAAUAGUCGGCUAUUGCAUUUGAAUAAAACUUAUACAAUAGAUUUCAUCCACUAGAGACUUGUUUUCCUACACAAUAUCUGUUUGUUAAAUAAACCAUAUUUGAAUUGGAUUGUGAUUACAUUGGAAUUCUGUUCAUUGUAGCUCUUAAGAAGCCUCUAACUAAGACUGGAUUUUAUUUAGUUUUAAUCAAAUUUCAUAAAUUUUCAAUUCUAGGAUCAUUUAAUUUCGAAUCAUUGUUGAAUUUUAACAAUAGCUUUUUUGGAGUUUUACUUGUUUGGUAUUUUGUUGUUGUGAGAUUCAAUCAAACUUAUGAAUUUGCGGUGCAUAAUUUGUUUCUUUUAUUCUUUUUAGAAAAUUGGAGGAGUUACCGGGGGGAAGAACUCAUUUUGUUGAGACAUGUGGUUUGCCAAUAAGCACUUAUUUCAGUGCAGUGAAGCUGUUGUGGUUGUUGGAAAAUGUGGAUGCUGUAAAGGAAGCCGUGAAGAAGGGAGAUGCCUUGUUUGGAACUAUAGAUACCUGGUUGAUUUGGAACUUGACAGGAGGGACAGAUAACGGUUUACGACUGACGUGUCAAAUGCUUCAAGAACUAUGUUGAUGAACCUUAAGACACUAGAUUGGGAUAAACCCACUCUGGAUACAUUGGGAAUUGCUGCUGAGGUUCUGCCAAAAAUUGUUAGGAAUGCUGAGAUAAUUGGUAACGUUGGCAAGGGAUGGCCAGUUACCGGGAUCCCGAUAUCUGGAUGUUUGGGUGAUCAACACGCAGCAAUGGUGGGGCAGGCUUGCCGGAAAGGUAAGGCUAAAGGUACCUACGGUACAGGGACGUUUAUACUUCUCAAUACAGGUGAGGAGGUAAUUAAGUCAAAUCAUGGGCUAUUGAGCACUUUGGCAUAUAAGCUUGGGCCGAAAGCUCCCACCAACUAUGCUCUAGAGGGUUCCAUUGCCAUUGCUGGAGCAGCAGUUCAAUGGCUGAGGGACAGCCUUGGCUUAAUCAAGAUUGCAAUUGAGAUUGAAGAGUUGGCCUUGCAGGUUGAUUCGACAGGAGGGGUUUAUUUUGUUCCAGCUUUCAAUGGGUUUUUUGCCCCAUGGUGGCGUGAUGAUGCUCGAGGAAUUUGUAUUGGGAUCACAAGGUUUACAAACAAAUCUCAUAUUGCUCGGGCCGUUCUUGAGAGCAUGUGCUUUCAGGUGAAAGAUGUCUUGGAUUCCAUGAACAAGGAUGCUGGGGAAAAAGGUGAAGCUAAGAAUGCCAAGGGAGAAUUCUUACUUAGAGUGGAUGGUGGUGCAACGGUUAACAACCUUCUGAUGCAAAUUCAGGUAUUGUUUCUGCAUUUAUUAUAACAACUAAUUGGGUUAACAUUUUCCUGUGGCUAUUUUAAUGGCAACUGUUGAGAAGUGCUCACGCCCACACUUGCACAGAGAGAGAGAGAGAGUUGUAUUCUUAUUCAUAACCAACUUUGCAGUUAAUAGGAUAUAACUUUUUAAGGAAUUAGGAUGAUUGUUUUCAACUCGUUCAUCAUCGCAGUCAACUCUUCUUAAUGAUUGUAGUUUAUGUGUAAAAAUUAUUCGAAGCAUUGUAGUUUUGCUUCAAUUUUUUAUUUUAUUUUCACACGUCAACUCUAUUGAACUCAUUAAAGUCUUGUUGAUGUGCUAUAUGAAUCAUCUCCUUUAAACUCUACUCAAUCUGGAGCCUUCUCCAAACUUCUGGAGGCAAGAAACCCAAAUAUCCGUGUCCAUAUGAAACUAAUGAAAUUUCAUGUUGACUGCCAGACUAACACAAGCCUUUCUAUCAGUGGUUGGAAUCUGCCAUGUUAAAAAACAAUAAACGUGAACCCCUGUCAUAAAAAAAAAUAUAUAUGUGAAGCAAAGCUGACAUCGAUUAUUUUUAGAUAUUAAAAUUGCAACUUAUUCUGGAGCCUUACAAAGAUAUUGGAAACAAUCUUUAGAAUUUCAGUUCAUUCAUUAACUCGCGUCUUUCAUCAGUUUGAUUAGAACACACUUUUUAUCCUACGUAAUGGAGGUUUUUUCCAUGAUGAAGUUCACACGAGUAGAAUGUCAUGCUUAUUCAAUUUUUCCAAUAUCAUGCUGUGCUUGUGAUACUGAGAGCUUCUUUAACCCAUCUUUUUCGGUGAAAUUAUUAGCUUGGUCCUGGGGUCGGAGAAGUGUAGGGAGGAUUUGGGGUGGGGGUGCUUUGAUUUUAAGGAUCUCAGUAGCCUUGGCUGCAGCCUUCCGGGCCGGGUUUUAUUGCCGUUUCAUUGAUUUUUUUGGCUUGAAUCAACAUGCAGACCUUUGAAAAUGUCUCCCAGAAUUAUCCACAGUUCCAGAUAGGAUCAAUAUUAAUUGUUUAUCUUGACAAUUCUGCUUGAUUAUUAGGAGACUGAAAAUCAUUGCUCUUAAUACUAUCCACGGUUAUGGUCUUUACUCAUUUGAUUUCAUUUUGCUUCCUUACAGAAAUCGAAAGGUUUAAAUGUAUUAUUUAUUAUCGAAUUUUGAGAAUCAUUUUUCACUAAUUCACUGUGGUUCAGGUGCUGUUCUGAAUUCUGGAUAUGGCCUUGUCCGUUUCUAGUUUUGAGGAGACCUCUUAUAAUAAUUAAUUUAUUUAUUGUUUAUCGAAAAAGGAAUGACAAAGAAUCUCGAGUGCCAAUUCACAAUUGGAUAUUGAAUUUAUUAUACAAUUCCUACUGGAAUCGCUUACUUGUGUGAAAUCGGGAUUUUCUUGAUUUGCAGGCGGAAAUUUUAGGUACCCCGGUAAUAAGACCAGCUGAUAUAGAGACAACAGCCCUUGGAGCUGCCUAUGCUGCUGGAUUGGCAGUCGGCAUUUGGACAGAAAAUGAGGUAUUUUCUACUGGUGAAAAGAUGAAAAAAGACACAACUUUCCAUCCCGUUUUAGCUGAAGAAGUCAGGAAGAAGAAAGUGGCGUCCUGGUGCAAAGCCGUCGAAAGAACUUUUGACCUGGCUGAUCUUUCUCUAUAACUUUUCAUUCUCUCUUAACAGUUGCAAGUUCACCAUUUCUCACUCUUGUUUCUGGUUACUCUAGUAUAUUGAAUAAAUCGAACUUAUUCUGCCUUUUCUUUUCUUACAAGACAGACUAAAAGGAAAAAUAAUGCCAUUUGUAAAACAGAUUGAUUAACAAAUAAUUUCCUUCUAUUAAUGUGUUUUCUAGUACUUGUGCUUGUCUAAUGCUUUAGAUUGUGUAAUGGAAGACAUUGGACAAUGCUAAUGAUACAUAUUCUAGAUAACCUGGAGUAUGCGUCCCACCAAUGUAUUAGAAAAUAUACCUUGGGACGGAUGUAAAACUAAACAAAUUGCUUCUGCCUCAAGGAUCGUGGACUUUGUUGAUUGUAAGAUGUUACGGUGAGUUCACUGAAGUUAGCCAAAGUUAAUCAACAAAAUUAUGUAAAAAUGAAACAAGAAACUAAAAACAUAAGAACACGAAAGGGAACACGCGAUUUUCACCCUAAGGUAAGAGGUUCGAAACUUCGUUCCUAAUCCCCUUUUGAACUUCCAUCAAACCGGAAGAAAAUCACUAUAUCAACUGAAUCAAGAAACUGUCUAAAUUACACAUCUCAUGGCACUCAAAAACAUCACUCAAGAUAAUUUCUACAUAAGUCUCACAACAUCGACAGUGACUGUUCUCUCAAUAAUAGAAUCAAUACACCGUAAGAAAUCACUCAAGAUUAAUACAAAGUCAAUUGUCCAUGUCGAGGAAGCUUUCUAGGCAGAUUCAAAAAUUGGGAGAUUAUUAGAUGAAUUUUUCAAAGAGAAAGCACGAGAGGUAGUCAAGAGAGAGAAAAAAAAAUGAAAUGGCUGUGCCUUCAAACCCUAGUGCACGAAUAAGUAUAAAAGACCCUAGAAGAUAUUCUCAUCCAACGGUCCAUUAUGUGAAAUUUGGCAGGAUCACAAGCACCCAUCAAACUUAAGAGAAAGUGUGUUUUAAUAACACGAUUUUUUUCAAAGAAAGCAACAUUCGAUUUGUCUCUUAACAAUUCAGUCCACAAGCCCAACAUUAAGAUGGUCCAGCGGAUUUUUAAGUCAACCCAUCAUUGUGCCAAAAUUUCUCCACAUAAGAGAUGUUAACCACCUAUCUAAUGAAUUUCUUGAGUUUUGAGCCAACUUUAUGUUCGGUCAUUUUUUGUGUGAUUAAUUUGUAUCGAUUAAUUCAAUACCAAAUAUUUUAGGUUUGAACUGUUGGGGACGAAUUAUAAAAAGGGUAAUGUAUGGGUUGGUUUUUGAUAUAUUUGUUUGACCAGUUUUAACCCGCAAGAGCGUGAUCAAAACACAAUUUAUAUGAAUGAAAAUUUGGACAGAGUUUCGGUAUAAAGAUUACACAAAACAAGGAUUAAGGAGUAGAAAUAGAGAAUAAUCCAAGGCGAGACGUUAUCUCUUUCCUUAGGACAAAUUGCCCCGCUACGGUGCUCACGGUGAAUGACACUUGUCUCUCAAGAUACAAUGGAUUCACAACUUGUGGUAGCAGCACUUCAAACCACAAGAAAUCGAUGAACUUUUGACAGAAUUUCCCCUUUACAAAGGAAAUGUAUGAAAUGCUAUAGAAUUAGAAAGAAGAGAAUUGCAAGAGCAGAAUGAAUGCUCAAUGCAAUUGGUGUGUCCCGAAUCAUGUCCAUAGGAUUCUAUUUAUAGAUAUAAAAAGGGUGCAAAUGAAGUAGUGUGGGCCAAAACAUACAUCCUUUCAAAAAAGUUGCAACACUUGGCCAAAACCUGUACCUUUCGAAAAGUUGCAACACUUCAUUUCUUCCAAAUUUGGUCCGCAAUUUCUCAUUCAUUCGGAAUUGGUUUCGAGAUUUCAAAUAUACCACGACGAUCUACUCGAUGAGUAGAAUAAGUUGGUCUAUUUACUUUUAUAAUUUGACCAUCGGAUCAAGUCCAGAUAUUUGGUCGAAGUUGACACGUAGUCACACCUUUUCAUUUUCCAUUUUUACACACCUUUUCAUUUUCCAAUUUUUACACACUUUUUUAUUUAAUAUUUAUACCAAUUCCUACAAUCCCCCACAUGAAUGGAAAUUCGGGUACGUAUAUGCAAAUGCGAUGAUAUGAUGCAAUGUAGAGAGGGUGCGAAAAAAUACUGUAUCAGGGAUGGUGGCUUCUGGCCUUGAACCUCCCUUAGUGAAAUACUAUCGGACUUACUUGGCUAAUUGGUAAACCAUAGGUCUUGAACCACUUAGCCUUUGGUGUAAGUCAAGACAACAGUACUCACACAGAUAUCUUCCUUAUUCUGUACUUAGUUCUAUGACUUGGUUCAUUUUGGCCCUGAACCCUUCUUGGUUUCAUAAGUGUUUAAAGAAUUCAAACCUUAAACAAUUCUUAUCGAAGCAGCCCCACUUCACACUUACAUAGGUGACCUCCUAUUAAAAGUAUUCUGCCCUACUCCACUUGACUUAAUCAAAAUAUAGGAAUCAUUAAAAGAUAAUCUUAGCCUUUAUUUACUCUGCAGAAAGCACUUUAGUAUCAUAGGAAUGAGUUAGGAAUUCUAAUUCUCUAAGUGCUUCAUGGAAUUUUUACAACUUAGUUGUCCCUUUGAACUAAGAUCUUGGGAUCUAUUGCGGAAGCUCUCUUGAAAGAUCUUCAAAUCGGUGAUUUUUGGGCUCAGUCCAACGCACCUUUCUCAACCAACAACCAGUCCAAUCGACUCCAAACCACAACCAAUUGAUUCACCUUGGUUGUUAUUCAAUCUUACCCACGUAGGACAAGAAAUGAUAAUGAUUUAUCGCUACAAAAGCUAAGAGAAGACACCACAAAGGUAUACUAUGAAAGAACCACCAAUUGCACACGUUAUACAAAUGUUCUGGACACUUCUGGACAUCUUUUUUCUCACACAAAGGGGGGCAGUCGGGAUUCUCUUGUUUCUUCUCUCAAAAUCCCACAAUCAUCAUUAGAAAUUGGCUAGGGUUAUAUCCAUAUAUAUACCCUAGGGUUAGGCUUUAAGUUGGGCCAUUAAAGAGGUAAACGGGUCAAGAUUCAAGCCAUCCAGAAGGAAUACAAUUGGGUCGGGUGUAGCUCAUGGACUUGGUUGUUGGACUUAUUUCAUUCAUCGGCCUAUGCCUAUGAAAUAAUAUUAACCCACGUUAACAUCAUAGCCCAGGAUUUAUUGGGUAUCAAAUACCCAACAAAUCUCCACCUUGAUGCCCAAUAAAUCUGCAAGCAAUCAAAACACACAGUUAACACUUACAUAAUCAAGGUAGCCAAUAAAAUUGGAUCACAGACCUUACCUCGUGUUUUCAACUUGAAACACAUACCAUACCUGCUCCAUGUACUCACUGGGACUAAGGUCAAAAACACCCAAGUAGAAGCAAAUAUUUAACAGUAAACAAUCAAGAGCAAAUACACAUGGGAUGAUGAUAUACUAUAGGAUAACACACGCAGAUCUUUUCAGAAACACGUUCACAUAGAACCAUAGAUUAACACCAAGUCAAUUGAACUACGGUCAACCACAUAUGCAACACAUGCAUAAAUGACCCUAAAAAAAUAUCUCACCACACUUAUCCUAUCCCAUUCUGUGUUGCUCACACCUCAAGAACACAUAUCUCCUCUCAUCGCCUACCAAACUCACUAGACAGAUCACUCAACUCAUGUCUAACUGGCAAGUCACAAUAGAUCCUAAGUCCACGGGAUAAUCUUCUAUCUCCACAUCACUUCUUCCAACCUACGUGGAUAAUGGUCUCCACCUAACAGAAGUGAUAGAAGUGCCUCUCUCACACUCCACCUGAUCAGGGUCUCUUUCCAGAUAAAGGAUCCUAGACAUUUGAUCACGUCUCCACUCAUGAUCCAAAUGUCACACUCUACAUCCCAGGUACAAACCACCAUGUACCCCUAGGCAUCUAUACUCCACCUCACCAAAAGACACAUAACACACUGCUAAUGCAUCCUAACCCACUAUGCAUGCAAGCAAUUACACCAAGUAAUCCUAAUGUCUCAAAUUCAUGCAAAUGCACAUAUCAAACACAUUGAAAUGUAGCAGAUAAUUAUGCAACAAAAUUUAGACAAUCACACACACAUGCAGAAAGGAUCACACACAGAUGCAUAUGCAGUGACUAUGUCUACACUUAAUAAACCUUACUGGGGUCGUAACUCGACCCCUCAACCAAAUUCGUCUCACCUCUCAUCUUACCCUUCAACUUAUCUUUCUUCUUAGGAUAGUCCCUAAUAAAGUGUCCAGACUUACCACUACUGUAACACCUUCUAUCACUAGACUUGUCUUGUCCAUUGCCCUUCUUCUUCUACCCUUAUCACUUGAGUUAUUACUCGAAUCACUACCGUCUUGAGUUCUACCCAAAUUUAUUUGCUUAAACUUCAUCCUACUCCUCAUCAUAUGUAACUCGCCACUCCUCUUAUCCUCUUUUUCAGCUUUAAUCUUCAUCUCCUUACUCCUAAGUGAGUCUAUAACAAUCUCGGGUGUUAAGGUGUCCCUACCGUACUUAAUUGCAUUCUUAACUUCCCUAUAUGAAUUAGGCAUGAAAUUAAGUAGGAUAAUAGCCUUAUAUGUUUCAGAUACCUCUUCAUCACAAUUAACGAUGGCUUGAACUAACUUGUUAAAGACAUCUUGAUUAUCAUCAAGAUCAUUUGAAGGAUCCAUUUUAAAGUUGAAAAAUCGUUCAAGCAAGUACAAUUUAUUAGAAGUUGACUUAAGCAAAUAUAAGUCCUCUAACUUUUCCUAAAGUUGUCUUGUAGAAUCCAGUUUUCCUACUUUUCUCAAAACAGUAUCAGACGGGUGUAAAAUAAUUGAAGUGUAUUCAAGUUCAUCAUACUCUUCUUUUUGUACUUCUGUUAAAUUUGCAGAAAAUUUGCCAUUUAUGGCUUUUGAAACUUUUUGUUGGACCAAAAUACCCUUCAUCUUUUGUUGCCAAAUUGAAAAAUCUCCUUUCUCAUUAAAAAUUCCAACUUCAAAGCGUGAAAACGUUUUUAAAAACUAGAACAACCAAAAGCACAGAUAGGUCACACAAAGUUAUCCUACGAUCGCAAUAUACACCGUUCUAGAUUCCCAGGAUUUCGUAAGAUUCACGAUCUUAGAUCAAGGGAAUGUUCGAAGGGGUCAAGUUCAGGUGCUCUAACAGGAAAAUCAAUGCAACACGAAUGUAUGUAAACAAAAGUUCGAAUUUCCACGCAACAAGUCUUACACAGUGACUAUAUGACAGGUAAAACACAAAAUCAACUACCAACUUGCAAUCAAAACUCAACACUUGAAAAAAUAGAGCAAAUAAUUCCUAAAUUUUCUAGCACAAGUAAUGGUUGCCAAGCAAUGACAACCCCUAAUCCCCCCACACGAUGAUCUGCUAAUGCUGAAAUUUAAACUGAGCGGACCUAUCUGAGUCCGUAAAUUAUGAGAGUUGCGAAUUUAUUACCUUAGGACCACCACUAUUCGUCCUAAAGUCUCUGAAAACUGUAGCACCCAAAAAAAUCACGAUCGAGUCCCGAACGCUCGAAGAACAACGCUGUCCAGAUUCUUCUGCGUACCUUGAAACAGAGAACUUUCAACACGAAAAAUGUCAGAAAUAAUAUAAGGAACAAACUGCCUGAAGAGACCAUCGCCAAAAAACUCUCCAUACGCCCUCACGCGCGGCUUCUUCCCUCUGCGCGUGGUCCUCACGCGCCAUCCCACGCGUCGCCUUCGAUCGACACGCUUCGGCCUGUAGUGUUUGGCUCCUCAUGUACAUCAUGCCAGUGGUCUUCGUUUCCCCAAACUCCUUCUGGAUUGAUCAGAAAACGCGAAAAACGAAGACUGAUUUUGACAGUUUUUGAACAGCUUCUUCGAUCUGAUUUCCAAUGCGUUUCUGUCGAUUUUCUGGACAAUUUCUGGUAGAUUUCACAAACCAAAACCUUCACCUUGAAGCUCUGAUACCAAUUGUUGCGGAAGCUCUCUUGAAAGAUCUUCAAAUCAGUGAUUUUCGGGCUCAGUCCAACGCACCUUUCUCAACCAACAACCAGUCCAAUAGGCUCCAAACCACAACCAAUUAAUUCACCUUGGUUGCUAUUCAAUCUGACCCAUGUAGGACAAGAAAGGAUGAUGAUUGAUAAGUGUGUUUUUACACACUUAUUUAACUCACAAACAUGACUUAAACAUGGACAAAGUAGUUGAAUUGUGACUUAAUCUCGUUAAAUUCAUGUAAUGUAGGUGUUUCUAUGGAAAAGAUGGAAUUCAAAAGAAAAGAGUCGAAAAAGGACCAAAACGGAACAAAGCGAUAGUUCGGGGACCAAAGGUGCAAAUAUUGGAAAGUUGAGCUAAAGUGCAAAACGAGAAUAAAAAUAAGCCAAGUAUGAGCUUGAGGAUGAUACAAGACGAUCGGAGGAAGAAAGAAGUAAUAUUGGACUGAAUUGAAGAAAAGUGAAAGAUGAAGGACUAAAUUGCAAUUAAUCAAAAGAUGAGCCGAGCAAGUGAUCAAGGAAUUUAUUGACCCAAACAUCAAUUAGGAGUCAAUAUUUGAUGAUGGAACAAAGGAAAGAAAGAAAAGAGAUCAAGAAAUGAGAAAACGAAGUCCAGGGAUCAAAACAGCAAAGUUGAAAGUUACAACCUUGCGGCCGCACAAAACUGUGCCAUGCGGCCUCACAGAAGGUUGCAGGGAUUCCAUGGGCCAUUUCACUUGAACCAUGCGGCCGCAUGGCUAUAAAAAAAAAUUUCUGAACUUGCGUUUUUGAUUGAAACUCUUUCGGGGCUCCGUGAGGACAGGAUAUAAAAGCCAAAAUUCAUCAGAAAUAGGGUAGAAUGUCCAGGGAGAAGAAAAUUAUAACUUUUGGAGGCAAGAAACACAAUCUUGAAGCCGAUUCCACAAGAAUUCAAGCGGGUUUUCCAAGCUUUAUUUAAGAUUUCAAGAAAUUUUCAUACGGGUGCUAUUCUUUCAAUUUAUUAAUUUCAUUUUUUAUUCUGUAAUUAUGAAUAUUCUAGGCUAGGUUUUCAAUUCACUAGGUGAUCGAUGAACCAUUGUUUGUUAUUUUAAUUUCAUAUUUCAUGAUUUUAAUAUAAAGACUCGUUUGGACAAUUUGAUUGGUUUAUAUGCAUUGAUUUUCUUCCGCAAUUAGUGGCCAAUGAUUGUGUGAGUAUUGAUGACUUAUUUCUUACAUUCGAGAGAAGUGGAAUAGGUUCGAUAAGGUGUAAAUUAACAUAGGGUCCGAUAGGGGAUAGAGAUAUACCCCUAUGCUUUAUGCAAUUCUCUAAUUGUUCACAAAACCACAUGUAUUCUUGUAUAUUUGCAUCAUUCAUAGAGAUAUAGGCUGGUAGUGUGCAAGAAUAGGUCUAACAUAUAUCGAGAGAAUAUGUUGGAUAGAUUUAGGAACAUUGAAUUGGCAAAUUUUCAUCGGGUCAUUGAUUUUAUGAAAUUAGGGUUUUUAUAGCUUCAAUUGGGGAUUCGUGAUCCUAGUGAUUUUAUUUUGAUUCAUUUCCAUAAAUUAGCUUUUGAAUUUGCAUGAUUUCAUUUACUUGAAUGUUUGAGUCGUUUAAUUAGAAAAAUUUCGAGAUUAGGGUUCCUAAUUGAGAAAUUAGGGUUUUUAAUUGAAAUUAGGGCUUUUUGCAUUUGGAUCAUAUUUUCACUCAAUUAGAUUCGGUUAAGGCUAGAUUAUAUAGAAUUGAACUACUCAAUCUCUGUGGGAUGAUAUUCGGACUUUUAAAAAUCCACUUUAUUACUUGUCACGAUCCGUACACUUGCGGUAGUUUUAAAUCGAAAGAAUUAUUUCGUGAACAAGUUUUUGGCGUCGUUGCCGGGGAUUGAGUAUUCGUUUAAUUUUAUUCAAUUUAACACUAAUUCAUUGUUAAUUUUAUUUUAGUUCAUUUUGUUUUAUUGCUUAUUUAGUUUUAUUACUUAAGUGCUUAUUUUAGUUAUUUAAGUGUUUAAAUUGAAUUCUCUUGCAGAAGUGCAUGCCAAGAUCUGCUGAAAGAGAUCUAUUCCCAACCGAUCUAGAGAUCGAACGAAGCUUAAGAAGAAGGCAGAGAGAAAACAGAGCAGCGAAAAAUCAGAUGGAGAAUGUACAACACAAUCCUGCUGUACAAGCCAAUGAAAGAGGGGAAGAAGAUGAAGGAAACAUGCUCGUUGGAGAGUUCAUGACCCCUCAAAUCAUUCAAAGCCAGUCCAGCAUUAUAUAUCCACCGUUCGGGCAGCCAAAUUUCCAGUUGAAGACAAAUGUGAUACAACUGUUCCAGAACGAACAUCAAUUUUAUGGAAGAAUUGAAGAGAAUCCGCACACACAUGUCUCGCGUUUCUUAGAGAUGUGCCAGCACUUCAGAUAUCAAGGAAUCUCUGACGACGCCAUAAGAUUAAGACUGUUUCCACAUACUUUGCGGGACAAGGCGAUUGAAUGGCUUGAUUCUCAGCCGAUAGCCAGCAUUACUACCUGGAAUUACCUAGCUCAGAAGUUCUGUACUAAGUUCUUCCCAUUAGCCAAGAUAGCAAAGCUAAAGCACGACAUAUCUAUCUUCAGGCAAGGUGAAUCUGAGAAUUUCGAUGAGGCUUGGAGCAGAUUCAAAAAUCUACUAAGUGUCCACACCACGGGAUUAGCAAGGGACUUCAGGUCCAAUAUUUCUAUGCAGGGCUACUUCCAGCUUUCAAGAGCAUGGUCGACUCUUCGGCUAAUGGGUCAUUGUCCACGAAAACAAUUGACGAAGCAUUGAAGUUGUAUGAGACAAUGGCUACAACCUCAACAAUGUGGACCAUGGAACGAGCAGUACCAAAGAAGACACCAGGAGUUUAUGAAGUGGAUAUAUAUUAAGCAUUAUCCGCUAAGAUUGAUUCCUUAUUUCACAAGGUGGAAAACACGACUCAGUCAGCUAACGCAGCGCAGACAAAGAAGGCAAAUUGUGAGGAAUGUGGAGCUGAGCAUGUGACGGCAGAAUGUCCAAUUUUGGCACAAGAAAAAGAGCAAGUAGAUUUUGCUUAAUGGGGACAACGCCAGCAGAAUAACACGUAUAGAGAGACCUACAACCCAAGCUGGAAAAAGCACCCCAACUUUUCUUGGAGCAACCAAAAUCAGAAUAGGCCACAGGGGCAAUAUCAACAGCAAGAGAAGAAGCCUCAAUUAGAAGAAAUGUUCGGCAAAUUCAUGGAACAGACCAACCAAUAUAUGGAGGCAAACAACCAAUUCAUGAAGAAGACAGAAGCCACUCUUCAGGACCAGAAUGCAGCCAUCAAGAAUUUGGAAACUCGGAUGGGACAGAUGGCAGUUGCAUUAACAGGUAGAGCACAGGCAGCUUGCCAAGUAACACAGAAGUCAAUCCGAAAGAGCAUGCAAAGGCUAUGACAAUGAGAAGUGAAGUGCAAUUACCUGAGAGACAAGUGAAUAACCUCGAGGCAAACAGAGAAGAGAUGUCUCCUGAAGUAGAAGAGACUUUGAAGCAAGAAGAGCAGACAAAAGAGCCAACACCGAGUGCAAAUAAAAGAAACUCAAGGAAUAAAGAGACUGCAACUGUGAACCCAUAUGAGCCACCCAUACCGUUUCCACAGAGGCUAAAGAAGCAAAAGAUGGAGCAGCAAUACAAGAAGUUUCUCGAAUUCUUCAAGAAGCUCCAUAUCAACAUCUCAUUAGCUGAAGCACUGGUUCAGAUGCCUAGCUAUGCAAAAUUCCUGAAGGACAUCCUAUCAAACAAAAGGAAGCUAGGAGAUCGUGAGACAGUUAUGCUAACAGAGGAGUGCAGUGCCAGGAUUCGGAGAAAGCUCCCGCCAAAAUUGAAAGAUCCAGGGAAUUUGUCCCUUGUACCAUUGGUGAAGUUUAUUUUGAUAAAGCUUUAUGUGAUCUUGGUGCAAGUAUUAACUUAAUGCCAUUGUCUAUUUUCAGAAAAUUGGGAUUGGGAGAAGCUAAAGCUACCACGGUGACCUUACAGUUGGCUGAUAGAUCAUUGACACAUCCACGAGGAAUAAUUAAAGACGUAUUGGUUAAAGGGGAGAAGUUCAUAUUCCCAGCAGAUUUUCUGAUUCUGGAUAUGGAAGAAGAUAAAGAUGUUCCUUUAAUACUGGGCAGACCAUUCUUGGCCACAGGCAGAGCUUUGAUCGACGUUCAAAAUGGGCAGUUGAUACUAAGAUUGGGAGAAGAACAUGUUUCAUUCAAUGUCUUCAAGGCUAUGAAACUACCAAUAGAGACUGACAGUUGUUUCAGGGUUGACAUGAUCGAUAAAAUGAUUGAAGAGUCGUUUACACUGCAAAAUCCAUUAGAUGCAUUGGAGGCCUGCAUUGCACAUUCUCAAUUCACAAAAUCUGAUUCUGUGGACAUAGAAAUUUGUGCAAGAUUUUUGGAGUCCAACCCACCUUACACGUGGAAACGAUACUUUAAGGAGCUUGGGACAGGGCCUGAGAAAUCACAGCCAUCUAUUCUGAAGCCACCAAAGGUAGAACUUAAGUAGCUGCCCCCACACCUAAGAUACACAUAUUUGGAAGAGUCUAAUACACUUCCAGUGAUAAUUUCAAACAUGGUUAGUGAAGUGGAGGAGGAAAAACUGCUUAGGGUGCUUAGAGAUAACAAGUAAGCAAUUGGGUGGACCAUAGCAGAUAUCAAAGGGAUCAGCCCUUCCUUAUGUAUGCAUAAAAUUCUCAUGGAGGAGAAUUUUUGACCAACGGUUGAAAGUCAAAGGAGGCUAAACCCAAACAUGAAGAAGGUGGUAAGAACUGAGGUGAUCAAACUUCUGGAUGCUGGAAUAAUCUACCCGAUAUCAGAUAGUAAAUGGACUAGUCCAGUGCAAGUUGUGCCCAAGAAAGGAGGAAUUACAGUGGUUCAGAAUGAAAAGAAUGAGUUGAUUCCGACAAGGACGGUAACAGAGUUUGCAUUUAUUACCACAAACUAAAUACCGCUACAAGAAAAGAUCACUUCCCUCUUCCGUUUAUAGAUCAGAUGUUGGAGAGAUUGGCAGGCCAUUUUCACUACUGUUUUCUGGAUGGGUAUUCGGGUUAUAAUUAGAUACCAAUGGCACCGGAUGAUCAGGAGAAGACCACAUUCACAUGCCCCUAUGGUACCUUUGCAUACCGAAGAAUGCCAUUUGGACUUUGCAAUGCUCCUGCCACAUUUCAGCGAUGCAUGAUGGCAAUUUUCUCAGAUAUGGUGGAGAAAUUCAUUGAAAUCUUUAUGGAUGACUUCUUGGUCUUUGGGACCUCAUCUGAUGAGUGUUUGGAGCGCUUAAACUUGGUUUUGCAAAGAUGCAGAGAAACGAACUUAGUAUUGAAUUGAGAGAAAUGUCAUUUCAUGGUUCAAGAGGGAAUAGUCUUGGGACAUAGAGUAUCGGCAAAGGGGAUAAAGGUGGAUAAGGCGAAAAUUCAGGUUAUUGACAAACUGCCACCAUCUACAUCAGUAAAAGGAGUUCGAAGCUUCCUUGGGCAUGCAGGGUUUUACAGGAGGUUUAUAAAGGACUUCUCCAAAAUCACCAAGCUUCUGUGCAACUUGCUAAUGAUAGAGGUAUCUUUUGAGUUUAAUGAGGAAUGUUUGAUAGCGUUCAAUACUUUGAAGCAAAAACUAACAACAACGCUUGUGAUUGUGUCACCUGAUUGGGAUUUGCCCUUUGAGCUAAUGUGCGAUGCGAGUGAUCAUGCAGUUGGUGUGGUAUUGGGACAAAGAAAGAAUAAAAUCUUUCAUGUGAUAUACUAUGCAAGUAGAACUUUGAACGAUGCCCAAAUCAACUAUGCGACAACCGAGAAGGAAUUGCUAACUGUGGUUUAUGCAUUCGACAAGUUCAGAUCGUAUCUUGUUGGGUCUAAGGUCAUCGUCUACACAGAUCAUGCCGCUAUGAAGUACCUUAUAACAAAGAAGGAUGCUAAGCCGAGAUUGAUCCAUUGGAUAUUGUUGUUGCAAGAGUUCGAUAUUGAGAUCAAGGAUAAGAAGGGCAGUGAAAAUGUGGUAGCCGACCAUCUAUCAAGAUCGGAAUGGGAUGAACCUGAGAUGUCAGUUGCUAUCAAUGAAAUCUUUCCAGAUGAGCAAAUUUUUGGAGUAGAAAAAGUCCCAUGGUACGCUGAUAUUGUUAACUACCUUGCUAAGUCCAUUCCUCCACCCGAGUAUUCUAGCCAUCAAAGAAAGAAGUUCUUCGCAGAGCUGAAGUAUUACUUUUGGGAGGAUCCCAUUCUCUACAGAAGAGGUGCAGAUCAGAUAGUCAGAAGAUGCAUUCCUGAAGAUGAAGUACCGGAGAUUCUAGAGCAUUGUCACUCUUCUGCAUAUGCUGGGCAUUUUGGAGCUUCAAAGACUGCUGCAAAGAUCCUACAGUCGGGUUUCUAUUGGCCUACUUUAUUCAGAGACACAUUUGAGUAUGUGAAGAGAUGCGAUAGAUGCCAACGAAUCGGAAAUAUCUCAAGAAGAAAUGAGAUGCCACUAAACUACAUCUUGGAGGUUGAAAUAUUUGAUGUAUGGGGAAUAGACUUCAUGGGACCUUUUCCCCCAUCGUACUCAAAUCAAUAUAUCUUAGUGGCUGUUGACUAUGUCUCUAAGUGGGUGGAAGCUGUUGCAUUGCCUACCAACGACGCAAAAGUGGUAAUAAAGUUCUUGAAGAAGUACAUAUUUAAAAGAUAUGGUACACCGAGGGCGAUAAUAAGUGAUGGAGGCAAACACUUCAUAAAUUGUCAAUUAGAGCAGUUGUUGAACAAAUAUGGGGUGAAACAUAAAGUAGCAACUCCAUAUCAUCCACAAACCAAUGGGCAAGUUGAAGUUUCGAACAAGCAGUUAAAGAGAAUACUGGAAGUUACAGUGAACUCAUCUCGAAAAGAUUGGUCUAAGAAGUUGGCCGAUGCACUGUGGGCUUACAGAACAGCGUUUAAGACACCAAUAGGAAUGUCUCCAUACCGCCUGGUUUUUGGGAAAGCGUGUCAUCUACCAUUGGAGUUGGAGCACCGAGCAUAUUGGGCUAUGAAACAGUUGAAUAUGGAUCUCAAGGCUGCUGGUGAAAAACGACUGCUGCAACUUAAUGAAUUGGAUGAGUUGAGAAUGGAAGCUUACGAGAACUCAAAGUUGAUCAAGGAGCGCACCAAGAGAUGGCAUGAUUUACACAUUCAGAGGCGAGAGUUUGAAGUUGGCCAGAAAGUGUUAUUAUACAAUUCUAGACUCAAACUUUUUCCCAGGAAAGCUAAGAACAAGGUGGUCGGGUCCCUACACCAUAACUAAGGUGAUGCAAUAUCGGGCUAUUGAAGUGAGUCACUAGACCAAAGGCACAUUUAUCGUUAAUGGGCAAAGACUAAAACAUUAUUGGGGCUGUAACUUCCCUAAGCAGAAGUCCACUGUGCAACUCAGCAACCCAACGUAAAGAAGACAUAAGAAAGUCGAGCUAUCGACUAUAAACUAGCGCUAGGUGGGAGGCAACCCACUGUAUCCUUCAAUUUAUUUUAUUGCAUUAGUUUAGGAAUUUGUUUAAAUUUCGUAUGUUUUACUAGGUCAUCGAUCAUUCACGCAUGAUAGUCUAGGCACUACACGUUUAUAGUUGCAUGAGUCGGGGCUAAAUAAAGUAUUUUGGGUGUUUGAGUGUGAAGUAAUGCAUUUCGAGGUUCAAAGUCAUUCGUUUUAUUUUAUUUUAUUUUUCGAGAUGCUUUUCAAAUUUUUUUUGUAAAGAAUUGGUUUUGGUGCCAAGUUUUCGAUAAGCAUAUUCCCUUUCAAGUCAAUUUUUUUUUUCGGAAUAUGGCGAGUCGAGUCAAUUUUGCAAUUGAAAACCAAUUUUGGGGGAUUUUUAAAUUUCAAGUUGUGUUUGAGGUUAUAAUUGUAAGUUUUCCUUAGUUAUGAAAAUAAAAAAAAAAUUUGCUUUGUCCAUGCAGCCGCAUGGACCCCUACCGAAACAACAAAAGGGGGCCUCAACUACACCAUGUGGUUGCAUGGUGUAACACCAUGCGGCCGCAUGGUGUAUAAGUGACCGGUUUUAAACCCGUCACUUGCAAAACACUCCCAUCUUCCCCCACUUCACUUUUCACACGAACACUCCCAUUUUUCUCCCCAAUCCACCUUCACACGAGCACAAUCAAUUAAACAAGCAUCCACUCUUCAUCUAAGCACCACAUUAUUCUCUUCAUUGGCAUUAAUAUCAAGAACAUUGAAGCAAAAUUCUCCACUUUCAUCUCACACAAAGCUCUCAAGGUAAGAAAUUUAACUUUCUAUGCAAAGAUUGAAGUACUUCUUUGAUUUUAUGAACUUUUCGAAUUGGUUGAGUGUUAAAUUAGAUUAAGUUGUGAUUUGUGGAUUAGCUCUAAGUGUAGAUCAAUAACAAUGUGUAAGGAAUUCCCAAUGCACACAACGUGUUUGAUUAAAUGUCAAUGAGAUAUAUGAUUUGAAAUUUUGGACUUUGCAUUUGUGUGAUGAUUUACAUUGUUAUUGUGAGGCGUAAUUGACGAAAAAUCUCAUGGAAUUUCAUUAGAACACAUUCACCUCACAUAUUGUUGCACAUAAACACAUAAUUGCUAAGCCAUGUCAACUCACGUCACUAACUUCGUCCAUGUAUUUUCCUAACCAAACGACCUCCGAUUGUAGUGAAAUUUGGAUAUAUGCUAGACCACAAUGAGUACUUUCAUAUGUCUAGACCUUGUCCGGGGAAAUUUCAAUAUUUCUCGGUGAUGCUUGGGGUUGAGAUGGUCACUUAGUCAUGGGUCGAAUGUUCAAAAAGUGCAUGUUAGAGCCAUAGUUUUGAGUUUUUCUCAUUAAUGCAAUAUUGAUGUUACAUUGACUUCCAUAUGUUGAAUAUUGCACACAUUUUGAAGAAAGUUUGGGAGAUUCUGGCAUGUCAAUGAUAUUCUUUAUCACUUUCUUAUUUCAAAAACUUGAUACACUUUGUUCCUUACUUUUGUAGGAUGCCGCCAAAGAGAACCUCAAAGGGAAAAGAAAAAGUUGGUUCCUCCUUCGGUACAGCCCGCACCAGAGAGCUAAUAGGAGGUGUACGAAGAUUCCGAAAUGCAGAAACAUUAGCUCGAUACAAGAACAUGAUACGUCGUUAGGGCAUGAUACCAGAGAGACAGGUCCAGUUAGAGGACUUUCGUGGUUUUGAGUUGACAAAUCUGAUACAAAUCUGUGGAUAGGAUAAGAUUGUAGAAAAGCCACACCCGGUUUAUGAAAGUAUAGUCCACGAAUUUUAUGCAAACUUCAAUAGUGAAAUUGAGACUCCGGAUUCUGAACACUUACACCAGACGUGGGUGCGAGGUAAGUGGAUAAUGUUCUCCCCAACCGUCAUUCAUGAUUUUUACAAUCUUAAUUUGGACAAUGUGGUCCCGAUUCCCACUCAAUUCAAUUGGAAUAAAGUGGCGGAGGUUCUCUUGGGAAGAGAAAAUGCUUGGCCCCUUCCCACAGCAGAAUGGCAUCAAAUUGAGCUUACUCCCUCUAUAGCCAUCCUCUGGGUCUUCAUGUGCCAUAAUAUCGAACCCACAUCGCAUCGGACAACUUUCACGGAUCAAACUGCUGGGUUCAUAUAUCAUUUAGUCCGGGGAUGCAAAGUUGAUUUAGCUACUCUUAUCUAUGACCAGAUACAGAAUUUGGGGACCUGGGGAGAUAGGCGGUCUUCGAUGAUCUUCCCUAGUCUAAUUAGCAGGAUAUGUCUCACCGCCGGUGUUACAGUUGAGGCAGGGGAGAUGCCUGAGACAUUAAGCCCACUGAUAAAGCACACAAUAUUUGAAGCUCAGGAACAAGCUAGGGUGAGGAAGAGAGAACAAGACCGACUUGAGCAGCAAAGACAUAAUGAGCAGAGAGAAGGACAAGUAGCUGAAAAUAUACACCUGCCACAAGCCCCGCCACAACCAGCUGAAAUGGAUUCGCAACUACUUCGACAGAUAUUUGCCACCGCCACUGGAACUAACAAGGAUAUGCAAAAUCUCCAGCAGAGGUUCGAGACGAUGACCACCACUGUUGAAAAAGUGCAGAGAGACCCUUACUCCUCCCGAGACUACAUAUUAAGCGCUAUGAAGGAAGCCACGGCUGCGAGAAGGGAAGUAGAGACUAUGAAUGGUAGGUUCAACAUGUGCGCUAGGAGAAUGGAUGGCAUACAGUGGCGUGUGAACGAAACUUGGGAUCGUUUGAGAGGUAUGGAAAGUAGGCUUCAAGCCAUUCAGGCCGAGCAAGCACAACAGUCCGAGUUGCUGAGACAACUCUUAUCUCGCCUCCCAUCUCCUCCUGAAGAUGAUGUUGCGGGUCCCAACUUCACACCACAGCCACCGAAUUGAUCAGGGGCGUUUUAUUAAUCUCUUAUUGCUAAGUUGUGUCCAUGUUUUAAAUUCUGCCAUUUUAACUUUAUAUUUUACAUUGAGGACAAUGUAUUGAAUAAGUUUGGGGGAUGGUAGCAUAAUUUCAAACAAAUAUUCGGCAUGUAAUUAUUUUGCAUAUUCACAAUCCAUCGUUAAUUUUGACAAGUUUUUGCAUGAUGCAUGCUUGAUGAGUGAGUCUUGAUGAACUUUUGCAUGCUUGUGUGGGUUUGGUAGCCUUGCCGGCUAUGAUGUAAUUAUUGGACAUGUAUAAAUUAGAAACUGUGGAUUUAGUGCAGGAUUUAAUUUGCUAAUACUUGUUGAUGCAUUGCUUGACAUUCUUUUGCACGCCACUCAUGCUUCACGUGUUAAGUUAUUAAUUGGAAUUCUAAAACAAAUUAGGAGAAACCUAGAAUAACCCUCUAUAAUAUUAACCCGUAAUACCACUUUGAGAUAGUUUGGAGAUGGUUGAGCCAUUAUAAGAAAACAUGGAGAUAAGUGGGGGCUCUGUGCAUGAAAUUAUACUGUGUGGAUUGUUUAGACCCGGAAGGUGAGAAAUAGGUGAAAUCUUUAAGUUGAGGAUGGUUUUGGAAGUCAAAUGUCUAGAAAAACAAAGAAGGGGCAUAAAAUAAAAAUUGAAAAAUCAUCACUUCUCUCAAAAGCCUUUAUGACUCGAGUAAGUAAGUCUGUAAGGGUUUAAAACCUGAUGUCCUAAAGUCAACUGGUUUGGGAGUCAUCGACCUAAAGCUCGUUACAAGGGUCAUAUAGAAAGCAAGAAAAUGGAGAAAUUGAUAAAAAGUCUUCUUAUCGAGCCUUUAUAACUAGAGUGAAUAAGAUUGCAAGGGUUUAAAACCUGGUGCCCUAAAGCCAACUAGUUUGGAAGUCAUCACCUAAAGCUCGUUACAUGGGUUAUAUAGAAAGCAAAUGAGAAGAUGACACAAAAAAACCCUUGUUGGACAUUUGGUUUAUAGAACUAUAACUUUGAUGCGAGGCAAGUAGCUUAGUUUAAUCCUAAAGGUCGAAGCAAUCAAAAUAAGGAGAGCCUCUACUUGUUGAUAUGUGAACUUGUAAUGGUAAAAUCUAUCCAAACUAAGAGAGGGUAAGGAUUAAAAUUGUUUAAACUCCUAACCUUAGAAUACACCCUGGAGUAAUUGAGUGAAAAGAAUACAUUUGGGGGUUGUGUAUAUCUCGAGUGAUGUAAGGAUAAAUUUGACCACUAUGGGUUGGGAAUAAACUAAUCAUAAGCUUGAUAUGUUGGCAUGAGUUCACACACACACGUUGAGUAUUGCAUUUGAUGAGUAAAGGUUGAUUCAAUUCUCGCACUUUUGAUAUUGUUUAUAUUAUUAUUACUAAGUUCCAAUCCUGAGACACGACAAGCUAUUAAGCCAUGUUUGUUUAGCAUUAAGUCACUACAUUGUUUGAGGACAAACAAUAGUUUAAGUUUGGGGGAUUUGAUAAGUGUGUUUUUACACACUUAUUUAGCUCACAAACAUGACUUAAACAUGGAUAAAAUAGUUGAAUUGUGACUUAAUCUCGUUAAAUUCAUGCAAUGUAGGUGAUUCUAUGGAAAAUAUAGAAUUCAAAAGAAAAAAGCCGAAAAAUGACCAAACGGAACAAAGCGAUAGUUCGGGGACCAAAGGUGCAAAUAUUGGAAAGUUGAGCUAAAGUGCAGAACGAGAAUGAAAAUAUGCCAAGUAUGAGCUUGAAGAUGAUACAAGACGAUCAGAGAAAGAAAGAAGUAAUAUUGGACUGAAUUGAAGAAAAGUGAAAGAUGAAGGACUAAAUUGUAAUUAAUCAAAAGAUGAGCCGAGCAAGUGAUCAAGGAAUUGAUUGACCUAAACGUCAAUUAGGAGUCAAUAUUUUAUGAUGGAACAAAGGAAAGAAAGAAAAGAGAUCAAGAAAAGAGAAAACGAAGUUCAGGGACCAAAACAGCAAAGUUGAAAGUUACAACCUUGCGGCCGCACAGAACUGUACCUUGCAGCCGCACAGAACUGUGCCAUGCGGCCACACAGAAGGUUGCAGGGAUUCCAUGGGCCAUUUCACUUGAACCAUGCGGUCGCAUGGUUUAACACCAUGCGGCCGCAUGGCUAUAAAAAAAAAAAAAAAAGAACUUGCGUUUUUUAUUGAAACUCUUUCGGGGUUCCGUGAGGACAGGAUAUAAAAACCAAAAUUCAUUAGAAAUAGGGUAGAACGUCCAGAGAGAAGAAAAUUACAACUUUUGGAGGCAAGAAACACGAUCUUGAAGCCGAUUCCACAAGAAUUCAAGCGGGUUUUCAAGGUUUUAUUCAAGAUUUCAAGAAAUUUUCAUACGGGUGCUAUUCUUUCAAUUUAUUAAUUUCGUUUUUUAUUCUGUAAUUAUGAAUAUUCUAGGCUAGGUUUUCAAUUCACUAGGUGAUCGAUGAACCAUUGUUUGUUAUUUUAAUUCCAUAUUUCAUGAUUUUAAUAUAAAGACUUGUUUGGACAAUUUGAUUGGUUUAUAUGCAUUGAUUUUCUUCCGCAAUUAGUGGCCAAUGAUUGUGUAAGUGUUGAUGACUUAUUUCUUACAUUCGAGAGAAGUGGAAUAAGUUCGAUAAGGUGUAAAUCAACAUAGGGUCCGAUAGGGGAUAGAGAUAUACCCCUAUACUUUAUGCAAUUCUCUAAUUGUUCACAAAACCACAUACAUUCUUGUAUAUUUGCAUCAUCCAUAGAGAUAUAGGCUGGUGGUGUGCAAGUAUAGAUCUAAUAUAUAUCGAGAGAAUAUGUUGGAUAGAUUUAGGAACAUUGAAUUGGCAAAUUUCCAUCGGGUCAUUGAUUUUAUGAAAUUAGGAUUUUUAUAGCUUCAAUUGGGGAUUCGUGAUUCUAGUGAUUUUAUUUUGAUUCAUUUCCAUAAAUUAGUUUUUGAAUUUGCAUAAUUUCAUUUACUUGAGUGUUUGAGUCGUUUAAUUAGAGAAAUUUCGAGAUUAGUGUUCCUAAUUGAGAAAUUAGGUUUUUAAUUGAAAUUAGGGCUUUUUGCAUUUGGAUCAUAUUUUCACUCAAUUAGAUUCAGUUAAGGCUAGAUUAUAUAGAAUUGAACUACUCAAUUUCUGUGGGAUGAUAUUCGGACUUUUAAAAAUUCACUUUAUUACUUGUCACGAUCCGUACACUUGUGGUAGUUUUAAAUCGAAAGAAUUAUUUCGUGAACAAUGAUUUAUCGCCACAAAAGCUAAGAGAAGACACCACAAAGGUAUACUAUGAAAGAACCACCAAUUGCACACGUUAUACAAACGUUCUGAACACUUUUGGACACCUUUUUUCUCACGCAAAGGGGGGCAGUCGGGAUUCUCUUGUUUCUUCUAUCAAAAUCACACAAUCAUCAUUAGAAAGUGGCUAGAGUUAUAUCCACAUAUAUACUCUAGGGUUAGGCUUUAAGUUGGGCCAUUAGAGAGGUAAACGGGCCAAGAUUCAAGCCAUCCAGAAGGAAUAUAAUUGGGCCGGGAGUACCUCAUGGUAAAGACUUGUUUGGACAAUUUGAUUGGUUUAUAUGCAUUGAUUUUCUUCCGCAAUUAGUGGCCAAUGAUUGUGUAAGUGUUGAUGACUUAUUUCUUACAUUCGAGAGAAGUGGAAUAAGUUCGAUAAGGUGUAAAUCAACAUAGGGUCCGAUAGGGGAUAGAGAUAUACCCCUAUACUUUAUGCAAUUCUCUAAUUGUUCACAAAACCACAUACAUUCUUGUAUAUUUGCAUCAUCCAUAGAGAUAUAGGCUGGUGGUGUGCAAGUAUAGAUCUAAUAUAUAUCGAGAGAAUAUGUUGGAUAGAUUUAGGAACAUUGAAUUGGCAAAUUUCCAUCGGGUCAUUGAUUUUAUGAAAUUAGGAUUUUUAUAGCUUCAAUUGGGGAUUCGUGAUUCUAGUGAUUUUAUUUUGAUUCAUUUCCAUAAAUUAGUUUUUGAAUUUGCAUAAUUUCAUUUACUUGAGUGUUUGAGUCGUUUAAUUAGAGAAAUUUCGAGAUUAGUGUUCCUAAUUGAGAAAUUAGGUUUUUAAUUGAAAUUAGGGCUUUUUGCAUUUGGAUCAUAUUUUCACUCAAUUAGAUUCAGUUAAGGCUAGAUUAUAUAGAAUUGAACUACUCAAUUUCUGUGGGAUGAUAUUCGGACUUUUAAAAAUUCACUUUAUUACUUGUCACGAUCCGUACACUUGUGGUAGUUUUAAAUCGAAAGAAUUAUUUCGUGAACAAUGAUUUAUCGCCACAAAAGCUAAGAGAAGACACCACAAAGGUAUACUAUGAAAGAACCACCAAUUGCACACGUUAUACAAACGUUCUGAACACUUUUGGACACCUUUUUUCUCACGCAAAGGGGGGCAGUCGGGAUUCUCUUGUUUCUUCUAUCAAAAUCACACAAUCAUCAUUAGAAAGUGGCUAGAGUUAUAUCCACAUAUAUACUCUAGGGUUAGGCUUUAAGUUGGGCCAUUAGAGAGGUAAACGGGCCAAGAUUCAAGCCAUCCAGAAGGAAUAUAAUUGGGCCGGGAGUACCUCAUGGACUUGGUUGUUGGACUUAUUUUAUUCAUCGGCCCAUGUCUAUGAAAUAAUAUUAACCCACGUUAAUAUCAUAGCCCGAAAUUUAUUGGGUAUCAAAAGCCCAUCAGGAUCUCCAGUCAACAAAGUAGGGUUACCAUUACAAAAACUCUUACGUAGUAGGCUUUAAUCCCAUUCCUCUGGCUAGGCAACGCAUUUGAUCUCUAGGCAAACUUUUCGUCAGUGGAUCCGCAAUAUUCUUCUUUGAUUUCACAUAAUCUAUGGAGAUAACGCCAUUUGAGAUCAGUUGCUUAAUGGUGUUGUGUCUACGACGAAUAUAUCUUGACUUACCAUUAUACAUGCUGCUUCGAGCCCUUCCAAUUGCCGAUUGACUAUCACAAUGUAUACUUAUCGCAGGUACUGGCUUGGGCCAAUAUGGAACAUUUUUUAAGAAAUUUCAAAGUCAUUCUACUUCUUCUCCAACUUUUUCUAAAGCAAUAAACUCAGAUUCCAUCGUUGAUCGAGCUAUGCACGUUUGUUUUGUUGAUUUUCAUGAUACAACAGCUCCACCAAUGAUGAAUACAUAACCAUUAGUGGACUUGGAAACCUGCGUAGUUAUUUUAAUUCUUUAUUGUUUAUUUCAAUUCUUUAUUUAAUUAAUUUGGAUUAUUUAUAUUUAAUUAGUUAUUUAAAUAAAUUAUUUUGAAUAUUUAUAUUUCUUAUUUAAUUACUUAUUUAAAUAAAUUAAAUAAAUUAUUUUGAAUAUUUAUUUCAAUUAAAUUUUAAUUACAUAUUUUGAUUAUUAACAUUUAUUCAUUAUUUAUAUUUUUUAUUUAUCAUUUAAAUAAUUAUUUAAUUAUUAUUUAAAUGUUCAUUAUGUAUUUUUGUGCAUUUCAAUUAAUUAUUUAUUCUAAUUGUUUUUCAUUUAUUUGUUUCAAUUGUUCAUCUAAAUUAUUUGAUUUAAUUAUUUAUAUCGAUUGAUUAUUUAUUGAACAAGUAAACGUAAAUAUUUAAUUAUUUAUUUUAAAUGUUAGAAAUUAUUUCAAUUAAAUUUUAAUUACAUAUUUUGAUUAUGAACAUUUAUUCAUUAUUUAUUAUUUUCAUUUAUCAUUUAAAUAAUCAUUUAUUUAUUAUUUAAAUGUUCAUUAUUUAUUUUUGUGCAUUUAAAUUAAUUAUUUAUUCCAAUUAUUUUUCAUUUACUUGUUUCAAUUGUUCAUUCAAAUUAUUUGAUUUAAUUAUUUAUAUUGAUUGAUUAUUUAAAUUAUUUAUUGAACAAGUAAUCGUAAAUAAUUAAUUUUUAUUUUAAACGUUGGAAAUUUAUUUCAAUUAAAUUUCAAUUAUAUAUUUGAUUAUUAAUGUUUAUUCAUUAUUUACAUUUUUCAUUUAUCAUUUAAAUAAUCAUUUAAUUAUUAUUUAAAUGUUCAUUAUUUAUUUUUGUGCAUUUAAAUUAAUCAUUUAUUCCAAUUAUUUUUCAUUUAUUUGUUUCAAUUGUUCAUUUAAAUUAUUUGAUUAAUUAUUUAUAUUGACUGAUUAUUUAAAUUAUUUAUUGAACAAGUAAACGUAAAUAUUUAAUUAUUUAUUUUAAAUGUUAGAAAUUUAUUUUAAUUACAUAUUUUGAUUAUUAAAAUUUAUUCAUUAUUUACAUUUUUCAUUUAUCAUUUAAAUAAUCAUUUAAUUAUUAUUUAAAUGUUCAAUAUUUAUUUUUGUGCAUUUAAAUUACAUAUUUAUUUCAAUUGUUUGUUUAAAUUAUUUGAUUUAAUUAUUUAUAUUGACUGAUUAUUUAAAUUAUUUAUUGAACAAGUAAUUGUAAAUAAUUAAUUUUUAUUUUAAGUGUUAGAAAUUUAUUUCAAUUAAAUUUUAAUUACAUAUUUGAUUAUUAAUGUUUAUUCAUUACAUUUUUCAUAUAUCAUUUAAAUAAUUAUUUAAAUGUUCAUUAUUUAUUUUUGUCCAUUUAAAUUAAUUAUUUAUUUCAAUUGUUUUUCAUUUAUUUGUUUCAAUUGUUCAUUCAAAUUAUUUGACUUACUUAUUUAUAUUGAUUGAUUAUUUAAAUUAUUUAUUGAACAAGUAAAUAUAAAUAUUUAAUUAUUUAUUUUAAAUGUUACAAAUUUAUUUCAAUUAAAUUUUAAUUACAUAUUUUGAUUAUUAACAUUUAUUCAUUAUUUACAUUUUUCAUUUAUCAUUUAAAUAAUCAUUUUAUUAUUAUUUAAAUGUUCAUUAUUUAUUUUUGUGCAUUUAAAUUAAUUAUUUAUUUCAAUUGUUUUUCAUUUAUUUGUUUCAAUUGUUCAUUUAAAUUAUUUAAUUUAAUUAUUUAUAUUGAUUGAUUAUUUAAAUUAUUUAUUGAAAAAAUAAACGUAAAUAUUUAAUUAUUUAUUUUAAAUGUUAGAAAUUUAUUUCAACUAAAUUUUAGUUAUAUAUUUUGAUUAUUAAUAUUUAUUUAUUAUUUACAUUUUUAUUUAUCAUUUAAAUAAUUAUUUAUUUAUUAUUUUAAUAUUCAUUAUUUAUUUUUGUAUAUUUAAAUUAUUUAUGAAAUACAACGAUAAAAAAAAUUGCGGGAAGCCCAGUUGUCGUCUGGAAAAGACGGCCCAACAGAUUGUCUAAACAGGCGGCUCAGCUGUCUGUAAAAACAGACUGCUGGGCGGACUGUAAACAGACAUCCCGGACGUCUGGGCCGACUGUAAGCCGACGGCCCAGCCGUAAACCGACGGCCCGGACUGCUGGGCCUCCUGUUUUCCAGACGGCUUAGAAACGGACGGCCCAGACGAGACCUGAAGCACAGAGGCGAAGCAGAGGACACCUGCAGUUCUGGCCGAGCUUCAUGAUCCAAUGGAAGGCUUGGAGGAAAUAGCCAACGAGAGUGGGGUUAAAGGAUACGCUUAUUGUGGUGGGCUUGGUCAUCGUAUCCGUGAUUGCCCCAAGUUAGAGCAUCAGAAGAGCAUGCAAAUUAUUAGCUCGAGGAGGGAUUAUUUCGGGUCUGGAGGUUACCGAGGGGAGAUGUGAUCGGAAGUUUUUAGACAUAUGAAUUUGUAUUUUGCAAAUAUUUUGAGCAACUCCUUCAAUUCGUAAUGAGCCGACUAUAUAUGUACUUGAAUUUUCGGCAGUGCUUUCAGUUUGAAUGAGCUUCUUUAUCAUUAAUAUUUUUGGUUUUUUUGCUCC
rnacentral:lncRNA from 1 species